rnacentral:lncRNA from 1 species
UUAAGCCCGGAACCAUUCCCAUCUGCCAUUUCAUUUCCACUGAUGCUAUUGCCUGGGUUCCGAACCACAAAUCUGCAUGAUCAUCACUUAGCACUAGUACUGUGCGUAUAAUAUGCCUGUAUAAUUAUCUCCCUACUUAUUUCUGCCUGUUCAUCAUGUGGUGUAAGAUAUAUGUUGAGAUGAAGUUUUUGGGAUUAGUGGUCGAAAUUAACCCGAUCAUGUUUUCUCUUGUAACUAUAUAGACUUCAACUUGUACUCAUAAUAAAGCAUGCUAUAUUUAUGAAGAGAUAUUAAUCUUCAGGCAAAUAGAUAUUAUGAAAACAUAUAUAGCAAUUUAUCCAGAAGAAAUAUUAUGAAAUGAAAAGAAUAAAAAGUAAAAAAACAGAAGGAAAGGAAUUCGCACCUGCUAUGUAUGAAAGGACCAAGAUUGUUUUCCCUUUGGUUAAUGACUAGAAAAGCUCACUUGCAGAUUGCUUUCUCUGACCGUAGAUGCAACAGAAAUUUUCUCUUAAUAAUAGCACAAUGAUCGGGUAAUUGUAAGAACAAGUUGAUUUAAAAUUCCUUGACCCAAAAAAAAAAAAAAAAUCAUUUCAAAUUCAGGUCAACCCAUAGAUUUCUUGCCUUUUUCUUCUUCAUCACGUUGGGCUUGUCUUCUUCUUGAGGAUUGUAUAGGCCCAGGAAAUGCUUUGAGGUAGUUUUUGGCCUUGGAAGUUGGGACCCAACCCAACUUCACAAAAAGAAAACAGAUUUGCCAAAAAUCAAAUUUCAAGUCUCUCCUCAGAUCACUAAUACAGAUCAAAUUUUGGAUUUGAUGAACUAAAGUGGUUUUACUUUCUCUGUCAGUGUUUGAUGACUUAAUUUGUUAUUUACUUCUUUUUUUUUUUUUACUUGAUCUUUGUAGGGGUUUUUUUCUUCCGGUAACUUAAACGGGCUGGGCUGCCGUAAAGGGUAGAUUGAUGAAAUUGUCUCCUUUGUCUGAGUUCGAAAAUCAAGCCCCAAAAGCGCUUCGAAAGGGCAGUAGAGCCUUAGGAAGCGUUCUAGUCAUCUUCACCAACUAAAACAACAGCAACUUACAGAUGAUUUCUUAAGGCUUACAGAUAAAUUUUCUAGCUUGGCAUGAGAGGCUUGUGACAUGGAAGCAAAAUCAGCAUGAGUUUAGCACCAAAGAGGAAAAUAUGGCUUCCUAGGGAGAAAUGGGAGUGUUUAAGGUGAGGAAGAAGAGGUUUGCAGGCUGAUUUGGCUGAGGAGAGAGAAAGAAAGAACAAUGUUCUUCCAGUAGCUUGACAAAGCUUCUGACAGAUGUGAAAGUCGUCUGCCAUAAGAGGAAAAUGAAGAAGAAUGGUGAAUAGUGCAUGAAAUUGCUGGGUUUUUGCAGGUAAGAGAGAAAGCUUGCUCUCUGAAUUUGAGUUGGUUUUUGGUUGGGUAGAAGAGGCCCCCUUUUAUAGCUGCGGGAAACCAUCUUUUUUCAAGAAACCCUAAUGGUUUCUAUCCAUUUUGGCCAAGCUUUUCCCUUCAUUUCUCUUCUCCUCCCUUGACUUUUCCUAUCUUGGUGAAAUUUCCUCUGCCUAUUUGCACAAAAUUAGAGAUUUUGAGGAGCUCAAGACCCCUUUCCCGCAGCUGCCUCAGUGGAGAAUCCCCAUUUUCAGUCAUCUUUCUUCCUUCUUUUCUCCCAUCUUCCAAGGUUAGGUCUGAUGAGGGAAAGAAAUGGGUAUGCACACUGGUUUGAAGGGUAUUUUUGCUUGAAACUUGUUCUCUCCCAUGUGCUGGAGCUUCCCAGCAACUUACACACAUGGAUAUUUUGGCUUUCAUCGUGGCUUUUGUUUUCAGCUAGGUGCUGGAGAUUUCGCAGAUAUUUUCAUGAGUUGCUUGGGCCUUCUAGGACAAUAGGUUGGUUUAUCAAGUGAAUGGGCUAACUUCAUCAAUUGUUGGGCUAUUUUGGUUGAGUUAAUGGACUAUUUUGGUUGAAGUAAUGGGCUAUUUUGGUUGAAUUAAUGGGCUAUUUUUCUCUCUUUGUGCUCACCCACAUAUUUGGGCCUAAGAAAUGGGCUUGAGUUCCGGGGCUCCCAAGCAACCCCGGGACUUCCAUUUCUCGGCCCAUCAAUGGGCCUCAUAUCAACUUAUUACCAUCCAUAUCACAACCCACUCAAGCAAGCCCUGGGCAUCUUGCGUGGCUUGGGCCCACUUAAGCUUGUAGCGUGACGUGUUGCUUAUUUGCUUGGCAUGGCAUGUGUGCAAGCGCAUAUGACGAACUUUAGCGUGCCCAAAUUGGGUUUAUUCUCGGUAAGGUAUCGCAUUGGGCCGAGAAUUUAAUUGGGCAGAACUGUGGAUUUUUGGGCCUCAACAAUCUUAUAUAUAUUGGUUUUCUUUUUUUCCUUAAUAUUCACCACCUUUCUGUUGCAUAAGUAUUUCAGUCUUAACGGGUUUCCAUCUACCACUCAUCUUUGCUCUUUUAAGUGUAAGCUUUUUUUUUUUUUUUUUAAGCACAAGAUUAGAGGGGAGGGGGAUUUCUCAAUGUAAGCUUUGCAGUUUCAUAAUUAAUAUUUCCAAUAUCUCACUGUUAGUAAAAUAUGGAACAGGAAAAGUAUGAAUAAAAUACACACAUGUUUUAUUUAGCAAAAUUUUGACAAGAUACAACUGAAAAGUUUGGCCACUAUAUAAUAUUUUGAUAUAAUUUCUACACUUCUUCUCAAAAGAUUAGAUCACUUCACAUCUUGUGUAUGUGAAAACUAAUGUAAAAAGUUGAAACUUUAUCGUAAAACCUCGACAAAAAUGAGCUCUACUAGAAAAUGUUCAAUUUGGAUUCGUUGAUUUAAAUGGCAAUUUGACACUUGAUAGAAAUUUUUACAUACAUGUGUUAGUGUUUGAUCACUUCACAUGUUACUUACUAUAUUUAUUCCACUCAAGUUAGGUAAAUAUUAUUAUCAAACAUUUCAAUUAAUUUGUGAUUUUUUUAUUAUUUAAUCAAUUAUGAAUUAAUGGAUUCUUCUUGUUGUUUUGAAGACCAAUAAAAAAAAAAGGGUAAGGAUGGCUUAUAACUCUGAUAAAACAACAGUGACGUGGACAGCAGAUGUUACACCGUACUGAAGAUUUUUGAAGAUUCUUUAUUUGGGUUUCUUUCAAGAUGAAAACCAUAUUAUCCACAACCACAAUGAAGAAGACAGAAAAUGGAGUAAUUCAGAUGUUACCAGCCAUCCACGACAAACUGAAGUCUGCAAAGCAUUCGUAAUCUAAAGGGAGACUUUGGAAAAGCCCAAAGGAGAGAGAAAAUUUUUAAAAGAAGCAAAAAUGGACAAAAUUGCCCUUAUUUAUUUUUUGAUUUCCUAAGAAAUCCUUUACAUUUGCAUGUCUUUGGUUUGAAAGUUGAGAGGUUAUUCUGUCUUUUUUCAAAAAGCUUUGGCUUUUUCCAAAAGUGAAAGUUUUUUUAUGGGUAAAACCUAAAUUUACUUAAUCCCUAAAAAGGAUGGGGAGGCUGCGCAAUACUUAGCCACGUGUAGGCCAGGAGGCUUUCCAAUUUUAAUAUAUAUAUAAAUUGAAAAAAUAAAAUAAAAAUCAAUCUAUUAUCCUAUAUAAAAUAAAGAUUAUUGCUUCCAUGGGCAGUGCUAUGCACAGGACAGUGCCUGCCCAGCACAAAUUUUUUUUAAAUAAAAAAAAAAAAUCUACAUAUGUUAUAAGCUCAUCCAAAAAAAUAAAAUAAAAUAAAAGUAAAUUCUACAUAUAUGUUGCCCAUCUAGGUGGUUCCAUAUCUUCUCUCUCCUUCUCUUUUGGCUAUUAGACUUCUUGUUUCUCUCUCUCUCUUUGCUACCUCACAUCAGCAAGUUUCUCCCUCUCUUUUUUUGGGGUCAAAUUCUUCCUCUAUUGACAAAAUCUUCUAUUAUCUUGGGUGGGCAACUUGGCAACAACAUCUUCUCUUCUCCUUUUGUCAACAACAAGUAUUAUUCUCAUUCUCUCAUUUGCUAUAUAUCUUUAAUUAUAGUUUUAAUUUAAAAUUGAGUAUUCUAGGGUUUAAUUAGGGAUGAAUUAUAAUUUUAGAAUUUUGUUGAAAUUAAUUAAGGCUUCGAUUAGGGGUGAAUUAUUCUACUGCUUUGGUUUGGAAUUUUGUUAAAAUUGAGUAUUAUAGGGUUUAAUUAUGGAUGAAUUAUAAUUUUUGAUUUUGGUAUUAUUGAGAUGUUAUUAUGAGAAUUUGUUUCAUUUUUUUAUUGGUAUAUUUGAUUAAAAUUCUUUCUACAUAUUAUUCAUAGGCUAUCUUUUAUUAUGUCGGAUCACAAUCGGAAUCCCAAGAGAACAAAGAAUUUGAAUAGUGUUGUUUUGUAUUGCAUUGCAUUUACUUUUGGUUUUAGUUUUGCUUUUAGUGUAAAUUACUCAAAUGGUCCUCAAAUUUGUACCCGAUUUACAUUUUGGUCCAUAAACUAAAUUAUUCAUUCAAAUGGUGCACCAACUCUUUAUUAAUCAGUGCUUUGGUCCUACCGUUAUGUUUUCUAUUAAAUUUAGUCAUGUGAGCAGCACAUGCUACAUUUGUAGGGGUAAAUAAGACUUUUGACCACUUUAUCACCUAUGUAUCACCACUUUAUAACCUAUUUGGAGAACAUAGGUCAGUUAUGGACGGUUUUACAAUUAUAUUUGACGGCAACAUUAACAUAAUGUAACAGUGGGAUCAAUGGAGCGAUUAAUAUAGAGUUGAUGGACCGUUUGAACGAAUAAUUUAAUUGAGGGACCAAAACGUAAAUUGAGUAUAAGUUUGAGGACCAUUUGAGUAAUGUACCCUUCGCUUUUAUAUUUGUUGAACUUUUAUUUAUGGAUAGAUAUGCAUUUGAGGGUAAGACCCAUUAUGUUCCCCCUGACUUGGUGUAUCUUUUUAUGUUUAUUAAUGAAAUUCACUCGAACUGUUGAGUUUAGUAUGUAAGUUUUGCCUAACCGGCUUUUGAAUCCUAGAACCGCCACUGUUGCUCCAUCCUCCAUGCACUUGCAUGUGCUCUUACAAAGUGUGAAGUAGAUUUUGUGUGCUCCAAGUCAUUGACUAGAGCUGAAACAUGGUUAGCUAGAUUUAUAAGGACCCAUCUCUCUAUUUCCUAGACAUAUACCCAUCUCUCUAUAAAUCUAUAUGUAAAACUCAAUUUCAAACUUAAAUGACCAGUAAGAUAUAAGAGGUCAUAGUAUUCCUAUGUUUUUACAUCGUUGCCACCAGACUUCUUAUUUUAUUUAUAAUUUAUUUCAAGCAUUUCAUUAACUGCCAUAAUUGUAAUUAAUACUCCAUAUUAAUAGCAUAUCAAUCACCCCAUUUCUUUUGAUUGCCAUUCCCUCUAACAUAUCGCCCCUUAAAAUUGAAAACCAAAAAAAAAAAAAAUGUAAAUUACAUAUCCAAUAAUGUACCUAUGAAAAAUAUAAAUAUAAAUAUAUACGUAUAAAAAUAUAGGUUUAUUAUUUACCAAAUAAAAAAUAUAAAAAAACUAGGUCAGUUGCUUUGUAAUUGAAAUUUCUAUACAUUUUCCACAAAUUAAAAAUAGGUACACAAUAAUUUAUAGAAAAUAUAGGUGCAUUAUUUAUCCAUAGGUAAAAAUACCUAUAAAUGCACAUAGGUAAAUUAUUUACCCAUAUAUUAUUUUUUUGCUAAGGAUUUACCUUAGUUUUUAGUAGAUUAAUUUACCUACCUAGAGGCAUAGGUAGCUUAAAAAAAUUGUAGCACCUUAGUUGGUUGCAUACUAAUUUACCUACCUAGAGGCAUAGGUUGCUAAGAAAAAAUGUAGGUAAAUUCAUGUACCUAAACACAUAGGGGUCAAAUAGAGAAUAACAUGUUAUUUCCCUUCGAACAAAUUAAUUUCAAACCAUAACAAUAAUUGAAUUCGGAAAUUGGUAUAAAUAAAAGGAAAUAAAUAAGCUAUCAAUUUGAAAAUUAAAAUAAGAAAUGAUCAAGUAGUCAUAUUUGAAAAAAAAGAAAAGAAUAUAUUCUUGGUUUUUAUAGGAACAACGUGUAUAUUCAAACCAAAUGGCAGUAACUACACCAAGCUUUAAUUACUUUUUUUUAAGGCCAAAAGUCACUUUUGGUCUCUGUAGUUUGACACUUCUAUUACUUUUGACGCUGUAGUUUCAAUUCCGUCAAUUUUGCCAUUGUAGUUUCAUAUUUGUAGCAAUUCAAGGACAUGUUAAUAUUAAUGUCAAUUUGUUUAAUGAUGCAAGGGGUAAUUUCGUCAUCCCAAAAUCCUUGAGCAUAAAAGCUUGUCUGAAAUUCUCCCCAUUUCAUAUUAGGGCUCGAAAUUCAACCACUAAUCCCAAUUUUUGAAGAACCCUAUACCCAAAUGACCAAUUUCAAGCCCUAAUAACAAAUUAGGGAAGUUUUAGAUGAGCUUUUAUGCUCAAGGAUUUUGAGUUGAAGAAAUUGCCCCUUGCACUGUCAAAGAAAUUGAUAGGAAUACUGACUUGUCCUUGAAUUGCUACAAAUACAAAAAUACAGGGUCAAAAUUAACAGAAUUUAAACUAUAUGGUCAAAAGUGGUUAAAGUGCCAAACUACAAGGACCAAAAGUGACUUUUAGCCUUUUUGUUUAAAUAAGGAAAAAACUUACCUAUUAAAUCCUUGGAAUCUAUACAAAAUUGAAACACAGUUAAUCAGCAUUGAAUUGCAGCUAAUUUCUUAAACAAGGGUAUUAUAGGAAUUUAAAAAGUAUAACAUUUAAUCCAUUGAGCUUGAUUAGGAAUCUUGAUGAGUUGGAUCCUAGUUAUAUAGUUUCUCUUAUAAAAAUCGGGUUUUAUUUAUAGACAAAUAAAACAAUGGGUUGUAGGUAAGAAAAUAUUAAUUUGAAGGGAAAGUGUCACAUCCUGGGAUCGGCUCCGCCGUAGCACGAUAUUGUCCGCUUUGGGCCCCCCUCUCUGCCCGCACGGUUUUGUUUCUGGGAGCUCACGAGCAACUUCCCAGUGGGUCACCCAUCCUGGGAUUGCUCUGGCCCCCAACUCGCUUAACUUCGGAAUUCCUAUGACUCCGAAGCCAGUGAGCUCCCAAAAGGCCUCGUGCUAGAUGGAUGCGGGUGUGUACAUAUAAGACACAUCACCCCCUCUCCGUUGGUUGAUGUGGGAUCUUACAGAAAGAGUCAAAUUUACUAAAUUAAUAAAGCAUAAAUUGGAAAGGGAAAAGAUCUAGAGGAUGCAUUGUAGGAUUGCUCAUGCCAAUAAUUGCACCCUCUCGAUAUUGAAAAACCUAUUGUGUAUUAUUAUCUUCAAUCAUGAAUGAUGCACCUAAAACCCAAGUGUCCCAAGCCAACCAUUGCGCUCAUACCACUUGUUGCAGUACACAUUCACCCGUUUUUAAAGAAAGAAAUUCUACCAAUCGAUAUUGUCUCAAAUUUAAUCACAUAGGUCUAUUAUGGUUAACCAUAUGUACUUUUAUCGGCCAUAUAGAGGUACCUUUUUCCAACGUGCAACAAUUGUAUUUGAUUCACAAUUAUGUCUGAUAUACAUCACAUCAUGCCACUUGCCUCAAAUGAAUUUAAUUGAGUGAGGCAAUGGGAAGUAAUUAAGCUCUAUAUUGGUGGGUGGAGUGUUACUUCUGGAACCCUCAUCAUUCGUCCAUACAAGGGAACAAUUCCCUUCCUUCUAUAAAAUGGUGAAGCCAGUUGCUAUUGUUUGUUAGAGUUUUAGGAUCUGAGUGUUAGAUUUUGUGAGAAGAGAGAAGAGAAUUUAGUGAAAACUUCCAAUACUGCUCUGCUAUACGUGUAGCAGAGAGAACAUUCUGUUUUGUUAUAUAUUUUCAGUACAACAACACACACUUGGUGUGAGAAGAAAAAUGACUGUUAUGCACAGUACCAGCUGGAUGCUUUCCAUCAAAGUAAUCUCAGCCAUUCACUAUCUAACCAAUCAAGCUAUGACACCUGGACUAAGUAUAAAGAAAUACAACUAAGCAGAAAACAAGACUCUUAAUCCUGAAAUCAACUUAAGCACUUAUAAUUCAACACUCCCCUUUAAGUCUUGAGGUGAUUUCACUCCAAGCAUGCCUCUGAGAUAAUUGAAUCUGUCUUUGGCCAGAGGUUUGGUAAAAAUGUCAGCCAAUUGUUCAUUUGUAGGACAAUAUUCCAGAUUGAUUACCCCUUCUUGCAAUGCAUCCUUGAUGAAGUGAUACCUCCUGUCAAUAUGCUUUGUCUUCUGGUGGAAUACAGGGUUUUUAGUGAUUGCAAUUGCUGAGAUAUUAUCACAAUGCAAUGGAGUAGCUUCAGUUUGAAGCUCUCUAAAGUCUUCUAGCACAAAACGGAGCCAAAUAGCUUGAGUAGUAGCCUCAGCUGCACUGAUGUACUCAGCUUCUGCAGUAGACAGUGCAACACAGUUCUGUUUCACUGAGGCCCAAGAAAAUACUCCACUUCCAAAACUAAACGCAUACCCUGAUGUGCUCUUGCAAUCACCAACUGAUCCUCCCCAAUCACUGUCACAGUAACCAACUAGAAUUGAUCUUUUGCCUUUCACAUAUUCAAGACCAUAGUCCAGAGUUCCUUUGAUGUAUCUCAAAACCCUUUUAGCUGUUCCAUAGUGUCUAUUUGUAGGACAGUGCAUGAAUCUAGCUAGCAAGCUUGAGGCAUACAUGAUGUCUGGUCUUGUAGCAGUUAAGUACAGCAAGCUACCAACAAUGCUUCUGUAUUGUUCUUCAUUUGCAGCUCAACUCCCAUCAUCCUUAGCUAGUUUCUCAGUGGCAACAAGGGGUGUUGUCACAGGUUUGCACUCAGUCAAACCAAACUUGCUCAACAAGGUGCUAGCAUAUUUCUUUUGAUGUAGAAAUAUACUAGACUCAGUCUGAAUAACUCCCAUGCCAAGAAAGUGAUGAAGUAAGCCCAAAUCAGUCAUCUCAUACUUAGCCAUCAUGUCUUCUUUGAAUUCAGCCAACAAUGCUUGACUGCUCCCUGUAUACACAAUAUCGUCUACAUAGAUAGACACAAUUAGAAUCUCCUUAUCUCCCCUUACUUUGGUAUAUAAGGUUGUUUCACUUAAGCUUUUCACAAAACCACAUUGAGUGAAGUAGCUGUCUAUCUCUCCAUACCAAGCCCUUGGGGCUUGCUUCAGACCAUAAAGGGCUUUAUGCAAACGAUAAACCUUGUCUUCUUUACCUUUAAUUACAAAACCUUCAGGCUGACUGACAUAAACUUCCUCUUGCAGCACACCAUUAAGGAAAGCAGACUUCACAUCAAGCUGGAACAAUUUCCAAUCCUUUUGAGCAGCUAGAGCAAUAAGUGUUCUAAUGGUGUCCAAUCUGGCUAUAGGUGCAUAAGUCUCAUUAUAAUCCAGUCCAGGCUUCUGAGCAUACCCCUUAGCCACUAAUCUUGCUUUAUUCUUUUGCACUGAGCCAUCCAAAUUCAGCUUUGUCUUGUACACCCACUUAACUCCAAUCACUGGUUUUUCAGUUAGUCUAUCUACCAAUUCCCAUGUUUCAUUCUUUUCAAUCAUCUGCAGUUCAUCUUCCAUAGCCUUAAGCCAAGAUUCAUCCUGAGCAACAUCAGCAUAUUUUUCUGGUUCCAUGAUACACAAGUUACACUGAGCUAGAACAUCAUCUAGCCUUCUCCAUUUUAGAGGGGUGUGAUCAUAAGCUUGAGUUCUCCUUUCUUCACUGCUUAUAUCACCUGGAGUUGAUGAAAUGCUCUCUUGCAUAUCCAAAGUUUGAGGUGUACCAGUAGAAUUCUCAUUAGAACUGUCAGAUUUCAAGUCCAAAUCAACUUGGUUUUCAAUUGAGUAUGUUGUCAUAACUGAACCAUUUUUGUUUGUCCAAUGCCAAGCAUUUUCUUCAUCAAAUGUCACAUCCCUUGAUAGUAAAAGCUUGUUAGAAACAGGAUCAAAAACUCUAUAUCCUUUUUCACAAGUUGCAUAUCCCACAAACACUCCCUUUGUACUCUUAGGAUCCCGCUUGUGUCUCAAUUCAGUUGGCACAUGAACAUAACACAGAGAACCAAACACUUUCAGAUGUGCAAUUCCAGGCUUCCUUCCACUAUAUGCUUCGAAUGGAGUAAUGUUGUUGAGAGCUUUGGUAGGACAUCUGUUCAGCAAAUAGAUAGCUGUAUGCACAGCUUCUGCCCAUAGGAAAUAAGGCAUUCCCUUCUCAUGUAACAUUGAUUUUGCCAUCUCAAUGACAGUUCUAUUCUUCCUCUCAACUACUCCAUUCUGCUGAGGAGUAUAGGCCAUUGUAAGCUGCCUUUGAAUGCCAUUAGCUUCACAAAACUCCAAAAAAUCAGUAGACAUAAACUCUCCACCCCUGUCACUUCUUAUGCACUGAACCUUGUGUCCAGUUUGUAAUUCAGUCAUGGACUUGAACUUCUUGAAACAAAAGAAGGCUUUUGACUUGUUUCUCAAGAAGUAUACCCAAAUCAUUCUUGUGAAAUCAUCUAUAAUCAGCAUGAAAUAUCUGUUCCUUGCAACAGACUCAUUUCUCAUGGGACCACAGAGAUCCACAUGUAUUAGCACUAGUACUUUGCUUGCUCUUUGAGCUUGAUCUUUUGGAAAAACAUUUCUGUGCUGUUUUCCAAAUUGGCACCCGUCACACACACCACUUUGUUCUUCCAAUUUUGGUAAACCAUGUACCAUUUCUUUAUCACUUAGCUGCUUCAAUCCUCCAAAAUGCAGAUGACCAAAUCUCUUGUGCCAAAUCCAUGUGGAUUGAAGAAAACUAGUCUUCAUUAGUAACUGUUUUUCAGCUAGAAAAGAGACAGGAUAGCAUCUGUUACUCUUCAUUUGCACCUUUAUGAUGAGAUAAUCCAUGGAUGGGCUAUCAAAUACCCUGCACAUCCCUUCUCCAAACACUAGACAGUACCCAUGUUCAUCCAUCUGCCCAACACUUAGCAGAUUUUCUUUCAAUCCUGGCAGAUACAUUACUUCUCUGAUGUAUUUCCUGCCCUUUGCUGUAUCAAUACUCAGUGAGCCAAUACCAGCUACACUCACUAAUGCACCAGUUGGCAUUUGUACUCUCCCAGCUACAUUAGUUCUCACAUCAACCAGCAAAUCUAAAUUUCCUGUCAUAUGAUUGCUGCAGCCACUGUCAAUGUACCAUUCAUUGGUUUUGAUCUCAGUGGUUGAGCAAUUGGCAUAAAACAGGUUUCCUGUAACCUCCAUUUGAUUUACACAAUUAGCCUUCUGCACAUUUUUGCUCACUGUACAGUCUCUAGCAAGAUGUCCAACUCUGUCACAGUUAUAGCAUUUUGGUUUUCCCUUAUACCUGCACUCACCAAAAUGAUGCUUUGAACACACCUUGCAUUGAGGCUUUGUGUUUUCCUGAUUUGAGAACUGUGUUGAAGUGUGGUUCUGUGCAGAAUAAUUAUUCUGCUGUGUCUUGUCUUUUGCCUCCCAUGACUUCCCUUUAGAGUUCCAGCUUCUCUGUGACUUAGAUGAACCAGACUGAGAAGCAUUUUUGUUCUGACCCUUUGAAUUCACAGUGAAUGAGGCAAAUGCCUUCUCAGCUGUAUCAACACUAUGCAUUUCAAGCCUUUGCUCCCGACUCUUCAAAAUGGCAGUUACUUCCUGCAAAUCCACAGUUUCUAGUGUCUUUGUGUUUUCAAUCACAAUGCAUAUAGGGUCAUACUUCUUACUUAGACUAAUUAACACCUUCUGAACCUACCUCUCAUUUGACAGAACUUCACCAAAUGUUUUCAUUUGGUUAAUCAAUUCAGUUAGUCUAGUAAGAUAUUCAGAUAAGGUUUCACUAUCACGCAUCCUACUGUAUUCAAACUCACGUCUAAGGUUUUGAAGCUUUACCGAUCUAACAUGCUCUCCACCAUGAUAUUCUGAGUACAGCAGAUUCCAAGCCAUCUUUGCAGAGUCAGCAUUGGCAAUUCUGGGAAAAAUCUGAUCAGAAACAGCAUUUUGAAUGAUACCCAAGGCCUUCGCAUCCUUCAUGAGAAUCGCAGCUGUUUUCUCAUCAACUUCUUCUUCUGAACCAUCCUCAGAUUCCUGCUUCGUCUUUGAAUCUGGGAUUAAAAACCCCUUCUCUACCAAACCCCAUAAACCAUAUGAUCUGAAUAUGGUUACCAUCUUAAUCCUCCAAAAUUCAUAGUUCUCACCUGAGAAAAUGGGGAUUCUAGCCUCUGAACUUCCAGAUCCAGCCAUUACGAAUUUCAGAUUCGCCUGGAAACAAGAUGUUUUCAGAUUUGACCCUUGAUCGAGCUCAAUCAGCUUCGUGAGCUUAGAAUGAGCUCACCUCGAUCGAUUUUCUUCACAGAACAACGCCCAGCUUCAGAUAAUCAAACUUGGCUCUGAGGCCAUGUUAGAGUUUUAGGAUCUGAGUGUUAGAUAUUGUGAGAAGAGAGAAGAGAAUUUAGUGAAAAUUUCCAAUACUGCUCUGCUAUACGUGUAGCAGAGAGAACAUUCUCUUUUGCUAUAUAUUUUCAGUACAACAACACACACUUGGUGUGAGAAGAAAAAUGACUGUUAUGCACAGUACCAGCUGGAUGCUUUCCAUCAAAGUAAUCUCAGCCAUUCACUAUCUAACCAAUCAAGCUAUGACACCUGGACUAAGUAUAAAGAAAUACAACUAAGCAGAAAACAAGACUCUUAAUCCUGAAAUCAACUUAAGCACUUAUAAUUCAACAUUGUUACCAUAAGAGCCAGCUCCGACUUUCUUUAAUUUCAGUCCUAACGGGGUUUCAUCUUCCACUCAUCUUUGCUCUUCUCAGUGUAAGCUCUGCAAUUUGAUUAACUUUCCCAUUAUCUCUCACUGUACUCUAUAUAAAGGAAUAAGUGUCGUCCACUAAUUAAUUACACUUUGUGAGAUUUGAUUUUAAUUAGAGUUCGAAUUGAUGUUGCAGCUAGCAGCGGUGGCACUGGCAAACCAUGCUGCUCAACCAGCACCUCAACUUUACUGGAACUCCGUCCUGCCAAACACACAAAUGCCAAGAGCUAUCAGUGAACUUCUGCAUCCUGGUUUGUGUUGAAUAAAUAUAGUAUGUUACUGGAGUACGUAUGGCAACAUAUUCACAAAUGUGUCACGUAUUUUCCAAUAUGACGUUGAUAUAUAAUUGCAGACUCCACAAACGAAGAAAAGAGCACAAAUGUCAUGAAUGCUGUUGGGAAUGGAAAGCCAAUUGACCACAAGGGCAACCUGAAAAUACUGUACUACCACAGCUUGCACGACGCCCAUUUUCUUACAAGAGUGAUGAUCGUCCCACUGACAAUCAACUCCAUUAUAAAAACGUAGCUAUUUUCUUCUUGGAGAAGGACAUGCGCCCUGGCACAACAAUGAGCUUCCAAUUCCCUAGAAAUUCAAACACGGCUACUUUCCUGCCACCAGAAAGAGCUCAAUCGAUCCCCUUCUCCUCUAACAAACUACCAGAAAUUUUCAACCAUUUUUCAGUGAAGCCAACAUCUGUGGAAGCCAAAACAAUUAAGCAAACAAUCGAAGAGUGUGAGGCUCCAGGCAUUAAGGGAGAGGAAAUAUAUUGCGCCACAUCUUUAGAAUCAAUGGUUGAUUUUAGCACUUCGAAUUUUCGAACAAGAAACGUUCAAGCAAUCUCGACAGAGGUAUUGGAAAAAGGUGCCACCAUGUCCAUGCACAAGCAUACAACAAUGCCGGGACUGAAGAAGUUGGCAGGUGACAAAGUCGUUGUGUGUCAUAAGCAGAACUAUCCCUAUGCUGUGUUUUACUGCCAUGUAAUAAAACCAACAGCAGCUUAUGUUCUCUCCCUGAAAGGCGAUGAUGGGGUGAAGAUUAAAGCAGUAGCCAUCUGCCAUCUAGACACAUCAGAAUGGAACCCAAAGCAUUUGGCCUUCCAAAUCCUCAAAGUUAAGCCCGGAACAAUUCCCAUCUGCCAUUUCCUUCCCACUGAUCAUAGUGUCUGGGUUCCGAACCACAAAUCUGCAUGAUCAUCACUUAGCACUGUACGUAUAAUAAGCUUGCACCCCUGUAUAAUUAUCUCCCUACUCUACUUAUUUCUGCCUCUUCAUGUGGUGUAAGAUAUAUGAUGAGAUGAAGUUUUUGGGAUUAGUGGUCGGGUUGCCUUAAAAACACAGAUUACAGAAACUGCUUGAACUUAACCCGAUCAUGUUUUCUCUUGUACUCGUAAAGCAUGCUGUUGUGGUUCUACUUAAUUUCGUUCUCCCCAAUGUUUGAGUGUUUAAUUGUUACGUUGGAUAAUGCUUGUAGUUAGAGAAGCCUUCAUUUAUAUCAAAGUCCUCAACUUGUAAAGAUAUCAAUGGUCCUAGUGCUGCCACGUGUAAGAAGAUUGAAGAAUAAAGCUGUUGAGAUAUUGUUAGACCUGUUAUGCAGUUUAGGAAAACUGUUAGUAUUGAUAAGAGAAGGUUAGAGAUGUUAGAGAGGUUAGAAAACACGUGAACAAGGCUUUAACUCAGCUGAUAUAAAGUCUGUAGUUGUGCUCAGUUGAACUUAAUGAGAAAUACAACAAGUCUCUUCUCUAUCUCUGAAAUUCUCUCUGCUCUCUCUGCUUUACUUCUUUUGUCUCUGCUCUACAUUUUUUUUCAAUCUUCCUAUCUUAACAAAACUAUCAAGAAUUAAUGCAUCCAGAAACAUAUAUACCAAGACGCAAAACAACAUAUUUUUCAUGCUCUGUCUGUAACACCAAAGCAAACUUCCUUUAUCACAAAAGGAUCAAAUUCCAGUACUAAUCUAAUCCAUCAUGUAAAGCAUACAAUCUACAAGUGCCUCCCUUAAUUUGUCCAUUGGAUAUAUAUGUCACUUUUUGGUAAUUUGGUAUAGCAGCACCACGUAGUCUUGAAAUAGUAGUGCGGCUAUACCAAAUAUACCAUUUGCCCCUGCAUUUAACAGAAAAGUAAACAAAAUUGACGGUAGAACUAUUUGUCCUAACGAAACUGCAGUUGAAAGACCAUGAGAACGAUUUUGAAAAUUGAGGGACUCAAAUGAAAAUUGGGUCUAAGUUCAAGAACCAAUAAAACGAUUAACCCAUAGAUUUUGGAUCCAGUACCACAUCCCAAAGAGAAAACCACAAGUUUGCAAGCAAGUUUGUCCAUAAUAACACUACGUACAGUAUGGGCAGUGCGCUAGACUCAUCUCACUUUCUCAACCUAUCCUAUAGUUGUCUAAAAGAGUUUCUAAUUUAAUGUACUGAGAUUUACGAAAGAAAUAUCAGAGAAACAAUUUUCAGGCAAUAAAAAAAUGUCUUGGCAAGAAAAUGUACAAUUUGUUACAUAACUUAUUAAAUAUGAACAGUUGAAAGAAAAAAGAAUCUGGAUGAGGGAUUUGCAAAUUCCUAUGGCCCAAUUACCUUUUUUUCUUUGUUGUUUUUUUUUUUUUUUUUUUGGUUCUUUUGAUCCAGUAGCAUAUUCCAAAGAAUGAAAACCACAGGCAUGCAAUGCAAGCUCUUUUCCCACGUUUUCCUCUGUUUUUCUCCUAUCAUGGAAGUGAUUAAAACACACCUCUAAGCUUGUUUUGCGUUUGGUAGCCGAGUGUAAAAGCUCAAUGCAAGAUAGUUUGAGGUAGAAUUUUCUCCUAUUUUAUUAGGACAAUGAUAAUUAAAAAAAAGUGUGAUUCAUUGAAUAUUUGCGGGGUUUUGUUCAGACCUGACAAAGUUCUAAGUCAACACAUCAAAUUCCUUUUUCCAACAUGCAACAAUUGUAUUUGAUUCCCAAUUUUUUCUGAUAUACAUCACAUCAUGCCACUUGCAUCAAAUGAAUUUAAUUGAGUGAGGCAAUGGGAAGUAAUUAAGCUCUGUAUUCGUGGGUGGAGUGUUACUUCUGGAACCCUAAUAAUUCGUCCCUACAGGACUCUAGAACUCUCAAACUUCUUACAAGGACUACUUAACUCUAUAGCUUAAUGCAUAUAGCAUAUAUAUGCAAACACAAUUAGAAAUUCUACAACAGAAGCAAGAUCAAUCUCACUAUGCCUUCUAAACAAACAAACAAAUAAAACAAGCAUAUUAAUUGCUUUAAUCACUCUACUAACAUCAACACAGCACACUUAGUUUACUAACAGAUGAUAUAGAAAGGAAAAAAAAGGACCAAUAGGGAGAAAAUGGUGAACUAAGGAGAGACUAAUACUUCUGGUCCUUAGAAGGCAUAACAGAAAUAAUAGAGCACACUGCUUGAAUGCAAGUCAGUAUUAGGAGCAAAACAGCUGCAAUGAAAGAAAUAGUUGCCCAAGGUGUAUUGAAAUAAUGUUGCCUCAAAUUUGCCUUCCAUUUGUUCCAAGGCUUUCUGCAGUAGCUAUUAAGGCGCUCAGAAAGAAUAGCAAAGUAGAAGCUUUCACGAUACACUGCAAUUCCUUUUCCGAGGUUGUUAAUCAGAGUGCACACCUCAUUGUAGUCACCAAGCAUAUUUUUGACAAUCCCAUCCUUCAGAAGGAACUCCACAUCCUUUUCGGUGUUCACAAACUCAUCCAUGAGUGAAACAUAAUCACUUAUGUAAUUCUUACGGCAAUGGCACUAUUCAAAGGCAAUGAGGUUACGGAGUGUGAGCUCUGUGUAAUCGUGUAUUUUUAGUUUUGGAAUUUCUAGAAUCCCAUCGUUGAAUUGUGUUAACGCAGCUUUCCUUUCCUAGCCUACACGGAAGUCAACUUCACAAUCUCCUCCUAGCAAUUAGUCUUUCCUGCUGUAAAUCAGAUUUCCUACUGUAAAUCGGAUUGUAUUCAUGUCUAUAUUAUUUCCUACUUUAAGUAGAUAUCUUGUACUAGUAUAAAUAGGGACUUUGUGUAAUCUGUUAAAUACAAGGAAAUAUAUACUCUGCAUGGUAUCAGCCUAACCUAGGGUUCUCUCUCUCUCCCUUAUUCGAUCCUCUUCUCCUUUAGGUCCACCUCAUGGCUUUGUCUGAAUCCACCAUCUCCCUCCCAAGCCCCAACUCUUCUAUUUUAUCAAGCUUAUUGACUCCAACUAUCUUCUUUGGCUCCGCCAACUCAAACCCUUUUUAGUCGGCCAUGACCUCUGGAAAUUUAUCGAUGGCAUUCAUAAACAACCUUCUGCCCACACCUCCACCUCUACCACCGCAACACCCACAACCACCACCACUCUUACCCAAAUCAAUCAUGCCCAUGCUCAGUGGUACCAACAAGACCAACUCAUUGUUAGCUACAUCACCAAUACACUCUCUGAGUCCAUUCUCUUUCUCACUGUUGGUUGCACCUCUGCCCGGGAUCUCUGGGAGUGUCUCCAACGCCACUUCUCUCAAUCCAGUAUGGCCAGUGAAUCUACUCUUCGUUUUAAACUCAUGGAUUUGCAAAAAGGCUCUGAACCCACUUAUGCUUACAUUCGUCAUGCUAAGUCCUUUGCCGAUUCACUGGCUGCCAUCAAUGAACCUGUCUCCCCAAAAGAACUUGUCACUACUGUGCUUUGGGGUUUAAGACCCUAUUGCAACAUCCUCGUCACAGCAAUUCUCAAUUUCCCUCUGCUUCCUAACUUUGCUAAUCUUCGUGCUCGUUUGUUAGCAUUUGACGCACAGACUCCUUGAAUCUCUCCUGAUCAAAACACAGCGCAAAUGGCCACCCAAUCCUCUCCUCACACCACCGGUCAUACUUCCUUCCCUUCUCACCGUGGUGGUGGCUCUUCCAACAACAGGCGUGGUGGCCUCGGUGGCUGGCGCAAUAGCGGCCGGGGUGGCUGGCGCAGCUUCUCAUCUUCCUGGAGCAACCCGUGGAAUGGCUUCCAGCAGCUCCAAUGACCUAAUCAACCAUGGCCUCCUUUUGCUCCAAGUUCUGGAUCUCAAAGCAACUGGCCUUCCUUUCAGCCUCCUUGGGCCUAAUCUGCCGCUUCUAUCAAACACUUUGCCCGGCCCAACUCAGCUCCUGGUGUCUUGGGACCCGCUUGGUGCACUACCUGCAAUACCAAUCACAUACUACUACAAUAUGUCCUCAUCGCUACAAUGGCCCAGAAUCCUUUCUUUGCUAGGGCUCAAUUCAUGUAGCCACCUGACUCUACUUGGUACCCUGACACAAGUACCACUCAUCAUAUGAUUGGUAGUCCUUCUAAUCUCCAAAAUCAAUCCUUCUAAUCUCCAAAAUCAACAGCCAUAUCAGGUUCAUAAUUCUGUAUUUCUUGGUAAUGGAGAUUCUCUCCCUAUCUCUCAUACUAGCUCUCUCUUUUGUCUUCCAUCUCUUCGUACUAAUCUUCUUUUUGUUGCCCAUUUUACUUGUGAUAAUUUAGUUUUCUUUGUCUUUACUCUUGACUUUUAUCAAAUCUAUGACUUAUGUACUGGUUCGUUACUCUUUCAGGGCCCUUCUAAAGAUGGUCUUUACCCACUUUCCAUCUCCUCUCACUCAUCCAUAGUCCCCCAUGCCCUUACCACCGUGCACUCUCCUGCUUGGCAUCAUUGCCUUGGCCAUCCAUUCCAUCGUGUGCUCUCUCAUUUAGCGCCAUCUCUAGGCUUUAAAGUUUCUCAUGCUUUCUGUAAGGAUUGUGCACUUAGCAAAUCCACCAAACUGUCAUUUCUUAGUAAUAAAACCUUUGCCCCAUCUCCCUUUUAUUUAAUUCACUCUGAUGUAUGGAUGUCCUCGGUCAUUUCUGUCACUGGUUAUCGCUAUUAUGUCUUGUUUACAGAUGACUUUUCUCGUUACUCCUGGAUCUAUCAUAUGCACCGUAAAAAUGAGGUCUUUUCUCACUUUCAAACCUUUCUUGCUAUGGUUAAAAAUCAAUUUCACACCACUGUACAAAUUCUUUAAAGUGACAAUGGCACUGAAUAUGUUAAUAAUGCUUUCUCUGAUCUUUGCAGUCAACUAGGCAUCCACCAACGUUUCACAUGUCCCCACACUCCCCAACAAAAUGGCCUAGCUGAACAUAAACACAGACACAUUGCCACCAUGAUCUGUCCCCGGUCAUUUAUUCAACCAUCUUGACCUUUUGCUUGAUCAUUUUCCACAAGCAACCGUCCACGUACCCCAAUAAUUUAAAAGGGCUGAUGAUCUUUAAUUUGGUGAAAGCUUCUAUCUACCUACCGUGCUAUAUAUGAGCUAUGCAAUCGUGACCGUGUUACAUGACGUCCCAAUGUCGUAGGGAUAAAAAAAUAAUAGUCAUGGUUUUCUUAUUAAUGUCAAUACAUUCAUAGCAAAGAGCUUGUAGCUCUAGUGGUUAAGAGCAAUUACCCAUGCACUUGAGAUAUUUUGUGUUUAAAUCCCCUCUUCCCCAAUAUUUCUUGUAUAAAAAUAAAAAUAACAAUAAUAAUGACAUUAAUGUUGUAUUCUAUAAAGUGUUGGACAUGUUUUAUACCCCUUUCUUGCAAAUUACAGUUUGCCACGUGUACAAAAAUAAUAGAUAAGUGUUGGACAUCAAGAGCACUUACAUAUAGGUUUAAUAGGUAAGUUUUGAAUAUUUCUGUAUUUAGCUUUAAAUAUUGAAAAUCAACCUAUUAGCAUAUUAAAGAUUUGUCCAUAUUCGACGUACAUUCUCUUAUUUUUCUCUCAUUGAAGUAAAUACAAAACUAAGCACAUAGUGGGAAAGUGCGUCACGAUUAGGGGUGGGUUUAGUCUAGGUUGGUUCAUUUUUGGGCUCAAUUUGAACACCGAACUGUAAGCUUCGGUUUGGCUAUUUUGGAAACCGAAACCAAACCAUAAUUGAUGAAAACCGACCACUUCGAUUACCUUCUGGUCUUCCAACCAGAAGAAAACUCAAAACUUUAACCAUACCAAGUGCAACAGAAUUACACCAGGCUGGAUUCAAGUUUAUGAUGGUUAAAGAUAAAAACUUAUUUGACAUACAAUUUGAGAAUGGAAUCCUCAAAAUUCCACACCUGCGAAUACGGGGUUUAACAGAAAUUUUCUUCCGCAAUCUUAUUGCCUAUGAGCAGUGUGAGCUUCAUGAUCAUUACAUCAACGACUAUGUCUUCAUCAUGGACCGCCUGGUCGACAGUGCCAGGGAUGUGGAAUUGCUUGUGAAGAGUGGAAUUCUUGAAUCUAUGCUACCGGACAGCGAGGCAGCAGGGGAAUUUAUUAAUUCUCUUGACUUGGGGCCUAUUUUAGGCAAGCUUGAAACAAGACUAUUUCAGUUCACCAUGGGCUGGCCUGUCUAUUAUUGUAGCCGCUAUACUAGUUGUGCUCACAUUUAUUCAAACAGUGUGCUCCGUAAUGGCGCUGUAGGUUCUUCAUUUCCUCAAUUUCAUGUUUAGUGGUUGCAGAUUUGUUGCUCAUGUACGUGUUUAUCUAAAGUUAAAUAAGAGUGAUUGACUGGAUUGACUGUUAGUCUGUUAGUUUGUUUUUCUGGGGUUUUUCCCCCCUGUUCGUCAAAAAAAAAAAUAAAAGAGUGAUGGCUUGUGCCUAUGAAAAUUACUUAGGAGUAUGCUCCACAGAGCCAAAAUAAAUAAACUAGGGAAGUGGAGGUUCUUCUGUUUGUAUAUAAAUGAGCAAUUCAAACUCUCAGUGCCAAGGGAGUUACCCUUGAUACAUUUGUUAAAAAUUAUAUAUUUGGUCUUACAUCAAACAAAUAAUUUGAAGGGCUUUUUUGACAACUGCUGACAGCGUUUGGCAGAAAAGUUUAGAAGCGCUUCUACGCUUCUAGAUCAUAAAAGUGCUUUACCAAAAAGCACUUAGAUUUCUUAUGAAAAUUUCAACAUUUUUAUAAUAAAAGCGCUUGCUAGAAGCACUUAUAAGCAGAAGUGCUUCAUAGAGAAGCAGUCCCAAACGAGCUUGAUUUUCAAAUGUGCUGCUUAAGAAGAAAUUUAAUACGUUUUGAAAACAAAAAAAAAUACGAAAUUUAAUACGUUUGUUUUACAAAUUGUAUUAAUUGUUAUCAAUAAUACUUGUGCACACCCACAACAUACUUCUUUCUUUCUUUAUUUUCCUUCAGUACAGUUCUGCCUUUCUUUAAUUAUUUUUAACGAAUGCAAAGAGUUUGUCACAAAAUCAAGGAUUGAAAAAAAAAGAGAGUAAAUUAUGUGCUAGAGAAACUUUCCUGCAGAAAUUGAAGAACAACUCUAGUUUCUCUCUUUCGCCUUGUACUCCCGCACUGAGGUUAGUAUUGUUAUAAUGUGCAGAUUAUACGGUCACUCUUGUAUAAUGGCGAGAAGGCUCUAAUUAUAUUUUUGAACCUCUUUGACAGGACCCGCCCCGAAUUUCCCGAAACCCAAGACGAAUUCUGUGGAAAUUCCCUACAUCACCCCGAUGUUGGGCCCACUUCUAAAACUAUAUCAUUUUUCCUAAAAAGGAAUAAGGGCACGAGACUUUCUACCGAAAUUUCGGCAGAGUCUCUCCUGUAAAUUGAACAUUUCCCAAAAUUUCAACCUGCAUAAAACACAUUUUAUAUUACCCAACUGGCAGCAUGCACAAAAUAAUAACAUGCAAUUCACAUAAACGGCCUCUGGCCCUCCGGUAAUUCAGAGCAAUGCAAACUAGCAACUCUAAACCUAAUAAAACAACAUAAGUAACAUUUAGCCAGCGGCUGCACCCAGGCACUACCCUAGGCUACCUACGUACCCUUACUAAGGGAUCAAGCCACACGUAGUUCUUUCAUACAAAAUUUCCAAAUCCAUCAACAUGCAAUCAAUUACAGAAUCCCAAACAAAAUCUUUCUCAAACAUCAUUAGUUCCCAACUCAGUAUAAUAAUCCUUAAUUCAUCUCUGUAAUAAUCACAAUAUCUCCCCAUACGCCGGAACUACCAACACCACGUAUGGAGCCUGCCUGUACGCCAGAUAACCAACGACACGUGGGACCUCAUCAUCAUAUCACAUAAUCUCCCCAUACGCCGAAACUACCAACACCACGUAUGGGGUCUGUCAACACGCCGGAUAACCUACGACGUGUGACCUCAACAUCAAAUCACAAUAUCUCCCCAUACACCGGAACUACCUACGCCACGUAUGGGGUCUGUCCACAUGCCGGAUAACCUACGACACGUGGGACCUCAUCAUCAUAUCACAUAAUAUAUUAACGAUCAAGAAAUAUCACUACGGUCAUUUAAUCCUCCUGGGAAGGUAAAACUAUCUCAGGAGACUCACGGUCAACCAAGGGUCAAACUACCUCAUACUUGGACAAACGAGCCCACGGAGCCCACAACCUCCGUUUUACUAUCCAAGAGUUCCUAUAGGUUCUACAAGGUUUAGGAUACACGGCUUGCAAGUUUGGUCAAGAUCAGACGGUCGGAUCGCUCACGAUAGGACGGUUACUGCAAACCUAGCCCUAGGGUUGGCAUUUUCGGAGUAUCCGAAACUCCGUUUUACGAUCUGUCGAAUCAUAGACGAUCCUAAGGAUUUGCAGACUAACUAUAAUAAAUUCAAGACCAUCCAACGGUCUAAACCUAUCGAACCCGGAUAACGCGCAAUAGGCAAUAUCCAAAUUGAAAUCCGAGCACACCUACGCACUCGUGAGGACUAGGAGAUUACAUCGGGACAUAGUGCCCUUUUUCUACAGUGCCCAUGAGCCGCCGCACGCACCAGCAACGCGUGGGUGCCCAAAGCGAUUAUGCAUCGCCAAAAAAUCUCAAAACCACGGCUCAAGACUCCUACCCUAGGUAUAACACCCUAUUUGGAACCACUUUUGUUCUUGGACCUACCCCAAAAACUGAUCAGAAGUGGCCGGAAUGGCUGAAAUGUAAUUCAAAAAUCAAGCUACCAACGCUCAAAAUCGAUGCAAUCCUACCCAACCAUCAACUAGAUUAUGAAGAAUGGAUAAAUUUCCAUACCUUGAUCGCCAACAAUGGCGGCCGGAGGAGAGAGAUCUGAUCCGGCGAAGUUCGAGUGAAAACGGCCAAAAAUCAUCUUUUUCAGGCGGCUGGAGGGCGACCGAUGUCAGGGAAGGGCAGGGUCGUGACGCUAAGGCUGAGCCUGUCCUUUUGGCACCGGUCCCUUCCGCAGCCGUGUCCGGUGGCUGGAGUUUCGAAGAGAGAGAGAGAGAGAGAGAGAGAGAGAGAGAGAGAAAUCUGAUUUUUAUCAAACCUUUUUGCCAAAAUUACGGUUAUGCCACUGAGGGUAUUUUGAUAGUAUCUCUCUCGUUACAACUUCGAUUCGAGCCCACCACGUGUGUACGGACUCAUCUAACUGUGUUGUACGCAACGGUAUAGUCGAAAUUCCCAAAUUAUUUCCUUGUCAAAAAGUCAACUUUAAACAUUAUAAAAUAUUUUAGGGAAAAAAUGGUAUUUUCUCUCAAUAAAUUAGUAACUAAUUUAUUUAGGACUGGGUCAUUAUACUCUUUUUCGCUUCAAUGGAUGGGAAAAAAUUUUAUGUAAUAUCCCACAUCGACCAACGAAGAGGGGGCGAUGUGUCUUAUAUGUACAUGCCCGCCUCCAUCUAGCAUAAGGCCUUUUGGAAGCUCACUGGCUUCAGAGUCAUGGGAACUCCGAAGUUAAGCGAGUUGGGGGCUAGAGCAAUCCCAGGAUGAGUAACCCACUGGGAAGUUGCUCGUGAGCUUCGAGAAACAAAACCGUGAGGGCAGAGAGAGGGGCCCAAAGCGGACAAUAAGGCCUCGUGCUAGAUGGAGGCGGGCAUGUACAUAUAAGGCACAUCACUCUCUCUCCGUUGGUCGAUGUGGAAUGUUAGAAUGGAAUUGUUACCUUUGGUGUGGAGGUGUUCUAUCAUUUGAGCAAGAAAUUCCCACAUAUUCUUCAACUAUUUUUCAAGCAUGCAUAUUCCUCCCUAUCAAUCUUUGGUUUCUUCCUUUACUGUGCAUAGUAAGGAUCCAGUCAGGGACGGACCGUCGCUAUGACUAUCCUGGGCUAUAGCCCAGGCAAAUUAUUUUUUUUUCUAGUCUAAAAUAGCAAUCCCACCGCUUGCUGUAGUACUUGUUCAGUUCGUCACAAACAUGAGCAUAAUAGAAGUUAUCAACAUCUAUAUAGGAACCCCAAUGAAAAGGCUGUUAACUAAUAAUGAAGUUAACCCGUCAAUUUUUCCGCAUAUCAGAUAUCUCUCAGAAUAUGCGAUUCCAUAUUCAAUAAGCCACUCCACAUGCCCUGAGGUUUUCAUCAAACCACCCAUUAAGGAAACAUACUGACUCAUGUAAUUAUCAUUACUCAUCGGGUAAUGCAAUUGUUCAAAGGCAAGGACAUUUCUCAUUAUUUAUGUAGCGAACCCCAAUGGAAAUGGUGGGAUCUUCAGAACCCCAUCGGUGCUACUGAAUUGUAUGUCAAAUAUGUUUUCACCUUGUCACGCCUCAAACUUGACUCCAGCGUGCUGUAAUUCUGUCAAGCUGGGUAUGGAUGAUGGGAGUUUGAUGCAGGAGCAUAGGGGUGGAUCAAGAUAGAUAUUUACUAUUUAAUUAGUUAUUUCAUGAUAUAUUGUUAUUUUCUUAUUUAGGUAGUUUUAUGAUAUCUUUUAUUAUUUAUGUGUGAUUUUAUAAUUAAUUAGUAUACUUUUGGACCAAGUAGCCUUGGUGCUCAAGUCUUGUAAAGCCUAUAAAUAAGGCUAAUGUAAUAGUUGUAGAAUAGAUGUCGAUGAUUAAUAAAAUCGUUUAUUUGUGGCAUGGAUUUGCUACGAUAUAUGUGAGUUUGCACUAGCCCUAGAUUUCAGUGCUCGUGUAUGUGGUUGGUGACCUGUGUCCGGAUCCCGAUCCCCAUCAAUUGGUAUCAGAGCUAUGGCUCAAGAUCUGCUAUAUCGGGGAGGUUUUUGGAUGGAGGGUCGUUUUAACAACUACAACGACAUGGAGGAAAUUAGGAGGAUGCUACGGCAACUUAUGGAACACAUUGCUCGCAUUGAAGCUCGAACCCAGAUAGGUAAGAGUUCUGACGGGGAGGGAUGUGUGAACCCUUAUCUGAACCGAGUAGCUCGCAUCGACACUCUAAGCCGUGAGAGUCUCGACGGGGAGUACGAGGGAGAUAGCCCUUUUCAUUAUUGUGCUCCGCUGUGUGAGUCAAGUGAAGAGGGGCACGGUUAUUCUCAUUGUGUCUUUGAAGGUAUAAAUGAAUUUAGUAAUUUUGGUGCAUCUUGUUAUUCAUCAAAGUUAUUAAAUUUGGAUUUACCUCCAUUAUUUGAUCCUUGCAAUUGUGAAAAUUGCAAUAAAAAUUGUUUGGGUGUUCAAAGCAAUUUUGAUAAGCAAUUUAUUGACCAGAACAGUGAAGAGAUGAGAAUUGAGAAAACUUUCGAAGAUAUUAUUGAUUUUAUGGGCAUUAAUAUUUUCACUUGGAAGGUUGCCAAAAAUCUGGUUGAUUUUGUCAAUCGGUUGAAGAUUCUAGAGAGAAACAUUUGCAUUGCUAGAGGGAGUAAGAAGUCAAGAAUAACGAAAUAUUCCAAAUAUCUUUUUAUUUGGAAAGGAAGGUUUCAAUUGGAUGCUAAAAGAUCCAAAAUUAAUAUGCAGCAAUUGAAGAUUCUACUCGGAUUUUCCUUAAUCAAAGGCUUGAAUUCGAGGACGAAUUCUUUCCAACUAUGGGAGUCUGAUGCAGGAGCAUAGGGGUGGAUCAAGAUAGAUAUUUACUAUUUAAUUUGUUAUUUCAUGAUAUAUUGUUAUUUUCUUAUUUAGGUAGUUUUAUGAUAUCUUUUAUUAUUUAUGUGUGAUUUUAUAAUUAAUUAGUUUACUUUUGGACCAAGUAGCCUUGGUGCUCAAGUCUUGUAAAGCCUAUAAAUAAGGCUAAUGUAAUAGUUGUAGAAUAGAUGUCGAUGAUUAAUAAAAUCGUUUAUUUGUGGCAUGGAUUUGCUACAAUAUAUGUGAGUUUGCACUAACCCUUGAUUUCGGUGCUCGUGUAUGUGGUUGGUGACCUGUGUCCGGAUCCCGAUCCCCAUCAGAGUUCCCCUCCAGCUUUUGAUUCCAACGGUUGAUAGAGUUUAAAUAUUUUCCUGAAAAGAUCAAUAAUAUGUGCCACUGAUCUAAAAGUCUCCAAAUUGUCUUCCAAUUUGUCAACAGGCAAUAGAUGUUCGAAGAAACUGAAAGAAAUACAAAUUAUUGAAAGCCCCUCAGUAAUGCUGUUAUUGUCAGCAUUAGCAGGGAGUGUAAUUUUCUGUGGGUCGAAAAGAUCCUCGAGAAUGAAGAAUGGCAACUGAUUUUCAAGCAACCACGUAUCUGUCCAUGCAUCUUGCAACAUACCUGGUUUGUCAAAUAUGCGGUCAUUUUCGUCCCAAAAUUUGAAGUAGUCCUUCAAUAAGGGCUCAAUAACGAAGGCGGCGCCCACUAGAAUGAUUGUUACAAAUUCAUCACUGCUAAACUUGAUGGGUUCUCCAUAACAACGUCUCAAUCUUGCUUCGUGGUCCUUUAUUUUCUUAAUAUAAUCCUCCAAACUCACAUUGGUCCGACCUAUAAAAUCUUGCAGGUAUCUCUGUUUGUUCUCUUCCAAUACGACAUUCAAGCCUUCCUUUCCAUGGUGAAGUGGACCUAUAGAGACCGACUGCCUGAGGUGUGCAGAGCUUUUCAUUCACACAUACGUAGAUAAAAUGUCUGGGGGCUCAGAGAGUGAUGAAUGUGCAACAGCUAAUGGGAGGGUUUAUAUUCCUGAAGUAAGAAAUGAGGAAACACCAGCAGUUGGGAUGAAGUUUGACUCGCUUGACCUCGUUUACAAUUUCUAUAAUAGAUAUGCAUUCUUGGCUGGCUUUGGUAUUCGACUUCAUUCUAGCUUUUGGGGGAAAAAUAAGAAAGAGAUUUUGAGGAAAGAAUUUGUAUGUUGCAAACAAGGUGCAUACAAGAAGGAUGAAACUCGGGAGAGAAAAAGACAACGGGGAAUAAGUAGAUGCAAUUGCAAAGCAAAGAUUGUGGUUGUGAAGACAAAUGGGAGCAAGAAGUAUACCAUUUCUCUUUUUGCAGAGGGACACAAUCAUAAGAUGACACCCUCAGAAAGAAUGCAUUUAUUGAGAUCACACCGUCAUAUUUCAGAUUCUACAAAAGUACUCACAAAACAGUUGGGUUCAGUUAAUAUUCCCAUUCAUCAGAAGGUAAGUAUAUUCGAGGUGCAAUCCGGAGGAAUGGAUAAAAUCGGUUUUAUCAAAAAAGAUAUCUACAAUCUUGAAUGUAGUGUGAAUGGGAAGCUGAGGAACCACGAUGUUGAACUAGUGACCGAGUAUUUUAUGGCUGAACAGAAAAAAAAUGAGGCUUUUUAUUUCAAGAUUGAGGGAGAUGGGCAUGACAGGUUUAGUCGAUGUUUUUGGGCAGAUGCAACUUCUAGACGGGCGUAUGGGUUUUAUGGAGAUGUUGUUGUAUUCGAUACCACAUUCAACACGAAUCGAUACGACUUGACAUUUGCACCAAUGUUGGGAGUUAAUAACCAUGGUCAGACAAUUGUCUUAGCAUGCGCAUUUUUGAGCAAGGAAACGACUGAGUCGUUUGUUUGGAUGUUUGAGGAGUUUAAGAAAGCCAUGCCAGGUGGGGAACCUAAAACGAUCAUUACAGAUCAAGAUGCGGCAAUGGCCAUAGCGAUUUCAAUAGCCUUCCCGAGUACAUUUCAUCGACUUUGCAUAUGGCACAUCACAUCAAAGUUCUCUGUUAAGUUACCACGUGACGCUUAUAAGGAGUAUUGGCCUGAAUUUCAGAAAGCCAUAUGGGAUACUGACAAUAAGGAUGAGUUUGAUGCAAAAUGGAAUAUUGUGGUUAUAAAGGCUGGUUUGACUGACCAUCCAUGGCUAAGUUCAAUGUUUGAUUUAAGGGAAUCUUGGGUUCCAGCCUACGCACGACAAUUUUUUGCCGCUGGAAUGUCAAGCAGCCAAAGAGCGGAAGGUUCUCAUGGUUUUUUCAAGCAAUACAUAUCAAGGAGAAAUUCGUUGAUGGAUUUCAUAAUACGAUUUGAGAGGGCAUUUUCUCAUCAACGUGAAAAAGAGUUAGUUGCUGAUCACGUAGAUGCAUUUGAAGUGGCUCAAUGUCUUCUACCGAUGCCAAUGAACAAACAAAUGGCUACCUUGUACACAAGGACAAUGUUUCAAAAGUUUGAGCAAGAACUAAUACAAAGUACAGCAUGUUUCCUAGAGCUCAAAACAGAGGAUGCAUGUAAAGUUGUGUUCAACGUGAGCGAAAGGAAAAAUUGGGAAACAAGAGUGGCAGAAGUCGUAUAUGUCAAAGAUUCUGACCACGCAUCGUGUAGCUGCAAAAGAUUUGAAUUUGUUGGAAUUAUUUGCAAGCACAUCCUAGCAUUGUUCAGAAGGGACCAGAUUGAAUAUAUGCCCGAUAAAUAUAUUUUGAAGAGGUGGAAGAAAACUGCGAAAUGUGGAUUGGUGUCAGAUGCAAAUGGCAACGAAAUUAAAGACUGUGCAGAUCCUGGCCUUCUAAUAAAGCGGAGUACAAUGUCUCGACUUGCUUCAAAUGUGGUUGAGGAUGCAUUAAUGAGUGAAGAAGGAUGUGAGCUACUGUCAGAGACUCUAAAAAGUUUGCAGGUGAAGUUGAAGUUGCUGAAGGAUGGACCAAGUAAUAACGAAGUUGGAGGGUCCAGCUCUCAAACACAAUAUAUGAAAGACCCUAAGAGAGUGAGGUGCAAAGGAAGGUCGAAAGGAAUAACGGGAGCAAAGGAAAAGGCAAUGAAGCGAGGGAUUAGACACUGUCGGGAGUGUGGACACAUUGGUCAUGAUAGAAGACAAUGCCCAGCCUUGAACACACCGUAAGAUGCUACCACUAUUUGUAAUAAUAUCUAAAAUAUGAAAAGGUAAAAUUUUUAUGUGCUUGUGUUUGAUGUUUAUGCAGGACAUCACCGUCGAACAAUGACAAAUCAACUCCAAUACAUCGUAGUGACCCAUUAUUCGACGAUUUUGACAAGAUGCACAGACCAACUGAAUGAUUGAUAUUUGUAUUAGACGAAAUGUGGUUGUUAUGAAGAUUAAUGAUCAAGUGAAGUUUUAUAGAUUCAGUUUUUGAAUGUUAUUGUGUUUUUGUUCAUGUCCACCGAUGAGCUCUUACUAUGUCCACUGGUAAUUGAAAUGAAAAUUUUCUUGGUUUCAUUCUUCCAAGACAUUUGGAGACAUGUUAAUUUUACGUCUUCUCCCUAUUUAUAAAUUUUCAUAGACAUUUGAUCAAGUUUGAAAUUUGUAGUUAUGUGAAGAAGCAAUGACUCUUACCAUGUAAAAUGGGCAGUUUAGGGUGAAAUUUGUUUUAACAGAGAUUCAUUUUUCAAUUCCUCAGGGUAAUGCAGCAAUUACAGCAGCCAGCUGUUGUUUCCAUUACCAGUAAUCAUUUCCAGCAGCAGCCACUUUUUCCGACUGGUUAUUAGGGGCACGAUUUUGUACACUUUUGUAAGUGAAGGAUACUCGAAGCACUUUGUUGGAACAGAGCAAAUAGAAACCAGCGGGUAAAAAAAAAACAUAACAUUGCAGCUAAUUACAUUUCGAUACAUAGGUGAAAAAUAUUAAAGGGUACACUAACUUACAUAAAUACUCAUAAUUCCACACACAAAAGAACAUUUGAUUGCAAAACAUAUUAUGUGCUUCCUCAUAGCAAUACCACGAUCUCCCCAACCAACUGAACAACGGUAGCCACAAUCACUGGGUCGUACUCGUCAGCUUCUUCUUAGCAGGUCUCACAUGCUUAUGGCCACUCAUAUCCCUAGUGAUAUACACGAAAUAAAUCUUCAGCAAUAUUUGGAAUUUUAUUAUAUAUAAAUAAACCAUAAACCAUUCAGUAAACAAUGUAUAGCACAUGUUAUGUAACUUAUGACUCACGUGUCAGUUUUUUUUUUAACACAUUAGUACUCCAGCUCUUUAAUGUAAAUGGACAUGAUAAGGAGCAUUUACUGAUUCCCGGCUUUCUAUGAUAUUGACUGCUUCUUGAAUAAUAUUUCCAUAUUUGCAAAAUAUAAUGUUAGACAUUAUAACACAUGAUGACUUGCAAUACAUAGUCCCAAUAAUUAUAUAUCAAGCAAAUGAAACUGAUAUUUGUGUUAUUUUAAGUUAGAUAAUGACAUUAAGGGAGUAUAUGUGCAAUACCACGGUCACCCUCAACCAACUGAACAGCGGUAGCCGCAAUCACUUAGUCGUAUCGGUCGGCUUCUUCCGAGCAGCUUUGACGUGCUUAUGCUCAUUCAUGUCACCCCCAUCGUCUAGUAUCUCUCUCACAGCAUCAGGGGACACAUAGUUCCAAUCAUAACUUGUAUGAGUAGUUGCCGCAAAUGCUCGGAAUUUGUCGAAUCCUUCGUUGAAUGCCAACUCCAGUUCAGUAUGGUGCUCUUCGCAUCGCAUAUGGUUCAUCAAACAACCUUUGAUUUCAUCAUUCAUUACUGUAUCCAACUCCUCAGCUUUCAGCUUCCUGCUAUGACUCAGCUUCAAGUACUUGUUCUUUUGGGAUAACGCUUUGUUCACCCUAAUGUUAAGAUCAGCCAAAAUUGCCUCGUCUUCAACACAUUUCUCGUGCCAUGAAUUGAUCAGUCUGGAAUUAUAAUCCAGCUUGCCACUGACUGCAUGUAUUGCCUGUAAUGGAUCAUCGGAGUCCCCCUCACUCCCAAAUGAUGUUGAAAAAGGAAGGGGUCGGCGAGUACAAUGUGGAAAUAGAACCUGCCACUCCAAUUUGUCAUCUUCGAUUGUGUUGUUGGCGCCUGAAGAGGUUGACAUGCUUGAAUAAUCCUCUUUGUUUUGGGAGGAUGAGGAUUGCAUAUGCAAUUUCGUUUGAGAAAGGGAACAUAGGUUUAUAGACCAACAUACCAAAGCUUGUGUGUAGUCAACAUAUGUACUUUUUGGCGGGAAUUUUUUAAAAAUAGGUGUUAGGUUUUGCUUUUCAAGCAUGUCAACCUCACACUCUCCUGACACCACUGCUAGUGGUUGAAACAAAGUCAAUGGAAGUGACAUCUACUUAGUUAACUCAACCAAACUAGUUAGGAUUAAACUUAGAUUGUAUCAGACCAAAAAAUAAUUUCUACUUUGUCAACCAAAUAUUUUUUGGCGGGAACCCUUUUCUUGGUAUUACUAUCACCCCUUUCAUAUAAAAUCUCCUUCCACACAAAACUCACUCCUCCACCGAAUCUGUCUCCAUCUACCGAUACUCUCUCAAGCAAACAAACUCAUUCCCCCCAAAGAAUGAGCAUAAGCACAACCAAGUUUGAUGUGAGCAUAAUAAACACCCCUCCAAACAAAGACCGGCUUCGACACGCAAGUGAGUCACCGGACAAGCAAUGUCACAUUGCUAGACAGAAUGACCAUUUUGUUGGAAGUUUUGAGUCUGAAAGAGUUGUUGCUUUUUGGAAGGAGAGGCAUCUUCAACUUGGUGAUGAAAUCCAAAGGGCAAGGGCACGUUUGGAAUUUGUGGAAGGCCAAAUUGAAGAUGACAAAAGGCAGGCCAAUCUGGAUAGGGCGAAGUUGUAGCGCAUGAAGCGUAGACACAAACGACUUCGGAGUGUAGCUGUUCAAAAAUACAAGAACUCAUCUAAUGUAGUGGAGUCAAAGAAGCGUGUGAUGCAAGCUGGAUUCGACUACUUCCGAUCCUAUGCAAAACUCGUCGUACCCGGGUUUGAUUGGUCAUCUAUUACCGUUUCCGACGUCACCAAAUAUACUCAGCAAGGGAAGUAACCAUUUUGGUUCUCGUGUUUUAGCAGAGGCAAAUAAGUGGAAUUGGAAUUUUGGUUACACUCUGCUUCAAAGCUAUUUUGAUGCUAACUACUAUGGAAGAUUUAAACCUUAAUAUUUUGAUGUCUUUAAUUACGAAAACAGAAGAUGCAAAGAGCUCAUCUACUUCAGCCAUAUGUUGCUGCCAUGUCCAUUUGUUUUUGAUCACUUAUCAGAUUUGGACAUGGUUGCAUCAUAUGCAAUGUUGCCUUUAUUUAUUAUAUGUUAGGACAAGGUUUAUGGAAAAGCUUUUGUGAGUGCGUUUGUGACAAGGUUAUGGAAUUAUUAUGUACACUUUAUAUAUUGUUUUUUGUACUGGUUCAUUUCCUACUAUUUCUUGCUUUCUUUAUAUUUUAUGUUUGUGGAAUCCCUCUCAAAGUUAACAUAUACUGUGAAAAAAAUAUUAUGCAACUGAUUAUAUAAUCACUCAUAUAGACUAGGACAAAUAUUCACUAAGGGUUUUAAACUUGCUUCACUUGUGUGAUGUUAUUGACAAAAAGUAUGGCAUUAUUUAUGUGAUUUGACAUGAUUGAAAAUAUAUUACUGAUUCCCAAUGCGGCGUCAUAUGGACAACGUAUUGAAUACCUGUGACGUGUUAAUAACUCAAGGUGCAGUUGCAUGUGGACAACUUCUUGAAUACCUCUGACGUGUUGAAAACUCUAGGUGCAGUUGCAUGUGGACAACUUAUUGAAUACGAACUGACGUCUUCAAAGCUCUAGGCGUAGUUGCAAUGAUGGCUUCAAAGCAUGUGCAAUUAUUUUUUAUGUACAUUAUUAUAACAAAACAUAUUAUUGUAUAUAGUGAAACUAAAUAUUGUAUUAUUAGAAAUUAUAUUUCGAAUAUUAUCCGAAAUAUACGUGUUAACGUGAAUUUGGGUUAAGAGGAAAGUGAGUUAUGUACAAAUAAUUUUCAUUUUCUCAUUUUCCGGGCAUUUUUUGGAUUUUCGUAGAAUUUAUUACCUAUGUCCACAGAUUGUUGCACUAAAAAAGCCAAAAUAAUAGCAAGAGGACACCUGGAGCGAUCUCAGCCCGUCACUGAUGACUACUUGCACAAGUGUACGUCAGUCAACAUGGCCACACCCUCCCAUUUUACCCUAAAUUAUUAUUUUAUUACUUUUCCUUACAAAAAUCAGAACUAAUUACACACAAAAUAAAAAAAUUAUCCGAAAAUUGCUACGAACUCAUUGACACUCCAUCUCCGUUGCUGAAUUCUCCGAUUCAUUGUUACGUAUUUGUAAAAUUAAUUCCCAACAUUAACGGGAGAUGCUUGUUGAAGUAGGUUAUUCAAGUUGAAGUUAACAAACAUCAAUACUUAGGGUUAAGAGGAAAGUGAGUUAUGUAACACAAUUUGGAUUAUUUCAUUGCGAGACGAAUGAUUUAUAGGUUCUCCUAGUUUUAUGACGUCACAAGUAGGCCGGAGUAAUUUUUGGGGCAUUUUUACGAUUUUCCUACUAUUUUUUACCUAGUUUCAAAGAUUUUUGAACAAAAGAAUCCAAAAUGUAAAAGAAGAUGACACCUGGCGCGAUCUCAGCCCGUCACUUUUCACUACUUGCACAAGUGUACGUCAGUCAACAUGGCCACAUCCUCUCAUUUUACCCUAAAUUAUUAUUUUAUUACGUUUUGUCUUGGAAAAUUCAUAACUAAAUACACAAAAAUUCAAAAUUAUUUCUGAAAAUUGCUACGAACUCAUUGACACUCCAUCUCCGUUGCUGAAUUCUCCGAUUCAUUGUUACGCAUUUUUAAAAUUAAUUCCCAACAUUAACGGGAGAUGCUUGUUGAAGUAGGUUAUUCAAGUUGAAGUUAACAAACAUCAAUACUUAGGGUUAAGAGGAAAGUGAGUUAUGUAACACAAUUUGGAUUAUUUCAUUGUGAGACGAAUGAUUUAUAGGUUCUCCUAGUUUUAUGACGUCACAAGUAGGCCGGAGUAAUUUUUGGGCCAUUUUUACGAUUUUCCUACUAUUUAUUACCUAGUUUCAAAGAUUUUUGAACAAAAGAAUCCAAAAUUAACAAGAAUAUGACACCUGGCGCGAUCUCAGCCAGUCACUUUUGACUACUUGCACAAGUGUACGUUACCGAACAUGGCCACAUCCUCCCAUUUUACCCUAAAUUAUUAUUUUAUUACCUUUUUUCUUGGAAAAUUCAUAACUAAAUACACAAAAAUUAGAAAAACGAUCCGAAAAUUUCUACGAACUUAUUGCGAUUUCAUCUUCCUACUGCAUUCCCUGUUUAAUGGUUAUGCUACAUUAGUAUUUUAUUAUUAUUUAUCCACAAUUAUUAUAAUUAUUAUGAUAUUACUUUUUAGGCUGUCCAUUUGUUAAUUAUACCACAUCCAACUUGUUGAAAACAAUUUUAUUUUCCGUGCGAAUAGGCCAUUUGUAGUGCUUAUCGGUUUCUCUGUUCUUCAAUUUGUUAAUUUUUUUAUUUUUUAGGUUGAAGGGAUGUUUUGAAACAUAAUAUGGAAAUAUACAAGUCAUCCAUUGUACUCCUUCCACACAAAAAAAUAGUCUACGUCAUUCACUGUUCAACACCCUAGGUUAAGACACGUGUAACCAAAUCCGUUCGGAUAUGCUAAGUGGGAAAAUGUCAUUCCCAAGCACUGGUGAAAAGACACUUAUUUACUCCAUGCAUGACUUUUGGUUUACCAAAUAUGAAGAUUGGGGUCGGUGAGCAAAAUAUCUGUGUCAGUAAAAUGUCAUUCCUAGCCAUCUAUGAUGUAAGUAAUAAUUCCGCUAUAUAAUAAAUAUUAUACAUUUAUAUAUAAAACGGUUUAUGACAAAAUACCAACAUUUGAACAACAUUUAAACUGAGAUAGGUAUAACGUAGCCAGCCAACCUAGAAGUGAAGAGAAGCAAGUCCACAAUGCAUCAAAACUGUAAAUUCGUACUAAAACUAAUGCAAAAAUACGUGAUUCCCUCGCACAACUUACUCACGCAGGAUUUUGCACCAAAAAAUACUCUCACGGUGCCAUUUGCAUCGGUUGCAGCAAGUCCAAAACGCAGGAUUUAUCUUGUCUUCACUAGGCCACCCUGGAAUAACAAAAUACCAUUCAUUGUUGUUACAAGCGCUGCACCGAUUGAACUUAAUCUUCCCAUAGUCAAACAUAUCUACGAUAUGUCUUGCAACAAAUGCUCCGCGACAUCUUCCUGUUAAAGCAUCCCUGGUUCCUUUCAUAUCAAUGUUGUUACGUUGAUUCAAAGAACACAAGAAUUGUAAUGCAUCCUCUUUUGACUGACCAAUUCCGGACAUACCAAGUAGUCCAACUACAUAUGCCGCUUCCAUAUGGCCUGCCGUGGCUGCAAUGCGCAUCCCAUACAACGCUUCCACCUUACCGUCUGUGAAAAAACCUUCGAAUGCUUCUCUAAAUAUGGACUCAGGGUUAUCGCAAGCCCUGCAUUGUUGCAAGAAAUGCUGGACUGCAGGUUUGGCACGGUAGCAGAUAGGAUGGUGUGGGUACUUUGCCAUUGAAAUGGUGUUCCACACUUGUGGACUGUUUGCCAAAAUGUUGAACAAUCGGCACACACAUGCCAUACGGAAGAGAUCUUCCGAUGAUUCGGUUGCCACGUAUAACAUCACUUGAAACCAAGCGGACUCCGGGAUAAAGGCUUCGGGCAUAUCGAAAUGGAGAUGCUUCCUUCUCUUUCCUCCGACUGUAGUGAAGUGUUUCGAAUUCAUUGAAAAGUUUUUGGAAUGGAACGAUUUGAGGAGUGGCAGAGGGGAUAAAUGAUAAUAUUUGGGGUACACGUUCUACUUCCGAGCCUCUGUUUAUAGUGUUUUGAAAAGGUGUUUCCAGUUGGGGUUUUUCCAAGUUGACCCUUUUGAAAGAAACUGAAUCCAAGUGAAUUAAAACUUAAGACAAAAGAAGGGAAAACGUCAUAACGGUGCAUACAGAGUCAGACAGUUAAAAAGUUAAUUAAAUGGCUAUUUGCAUAGCCAUUUUUGGGUUUAUCCCACUAUCAAAUUCAUUGAUACAAAUGUGAUGGAUUACUGACUAGUGACAGAAGGUCCCAUCAUAUACUUUUUCAUUUUCGCACACCCAACUAUCCCUAGUAAUGUUAUUAAAAUGGAACCAAUAAUGACGGAUUCUUAUCCAACUAGUUGCCUUAAUGAAAUAUAAAUAAAUUAAUAAAAUUGAAGCAGUGUCCCGUCAUUAGUCAGAAAAUAUAUUUGGUAGUGAAGUAGUUUCUAUUGCUUUUCGGGCUAAAAGAUGUCACAAUGCUGACGGUACAGGUGUCGACAUCGUGACCAACCCACCAAAUGAUCCCAAAAAAAAGUAAUAUAACUCGAUUUGGGCAGAGAUGAGAGAGAGCUGAGUGACAAGUUUAGGGUUAUGAGUGAAGGGGUAUGAAUGACAACUAUGAGUGAGAAGGUAUGAGUCCGAAGAGGUUUCAGUGAGAAGAUUUGAGUGAGAAGAGGUACAACUGAGAAGAUUCAACAUGUCUUCGUCUUCAUCUCCUGCUCAAACAAAGAGGUGUCAGUAUUGUGGAGCUACAAUGGUGCUUCGGGUUUCAAAAUCUGAAAAAAAAUCGAGGGAAGCCAUUCUGGAAGUGUCUAACCUCCUAUGUAAGUUUUAAUUUAAAGAAUAUGUAUGUGGGUGAAAAAAAACCUAUGUCUAACUCUGACAGAAUUAUAUUCCAUAUAUGAUGCCUGCAAUUAGGGAGCCACCAGUUGCAAUGGAUUCGAAUGGGUUGAUGUAACCUCCGCUGAAGCAGAACAUCAAGAUGACACGUAUGAUGUUAGAGUGCUGAACAUGCUGAAGUCCAUUAAGGACUUGGUAUUAGUUUUAUUAGUUGUAUUAAUUGUCAUUUUAUUUGUUCUUUUAAUGAUCAUUUAACUGCACGGUUUAAAAGAUUGUGAAAGUUCUCUCGCACAAGACAUAUUGCACGCACCACCAAUGAGACCCUAAACCCAUUUUGUAAUAUUUGGUAACUGCAUGUAUUUCGCAUGUUAUUGAAUGUUUAUUGAAGGUUUAUUGAUAGUUUGCUGCAUGUAUAUGGAAUAUCAUUGCCCCAAAAUUGGAUGUUUAUUGGGGCCACAAGUAUCACUCAAGUAAGAAUGAAGGGGAGAAACGGACCUUAUUCUUUCUUAUAGUAGGAAGAACAACUGUUAAGUUUAAUAUCCUAUUCAAUACGACUUCCCUAUGGUUGGUGUACUUGGGGACUGAAGUAUAUUGCAUCAUUAUUGUGGGCAAGGGCAUGUCUAUUGUGUGUGUUAAGGGAGUAUUGUGUGGGCAAGGGCAUGUCUACUGUGUGUAUAUUGCAUGUCUACUGUGUGUAUAUUGCAUAUCUAUUCUCUGUAUAUGGCAGGCCAAGUUUGUGUAUAUUGUUUGUCUGUUGUGUGUGUAUUGCUUGUCGGUGCGUUUGUGAAUUGUGGUUCAUUUUGUGUAUAUUGUCUUUGUUUCUACUUUUAUGCUACUGAGCUGCGGAAAACCUCGCAUGUUUAGACACCUAUUAUGAUGCAACACAUUGCGAUUAAUGGUGGCUUGCAUCAACAAUGACAUAUCACUUUGCAAUGAUGUAAUACACUUAAAAAGCCGUCUUCAAAUCCCAAUUCACAUAUGCAGUCUUAAAAUUCUAAUUCAAUGCAGUUUGGUUAACAAACAUGUAAAUGUCAUGAAGGAGUUAGCGGUAGAAUUCGAUAAGGACCCGUACGUCUCUAUUGUGUAUUUACAUUAGUUUGAGAAUGGACAUUCCCAAAACCUUCUCAUGUACCAUUUGUCAUCUUCAACCAAUAUCAUGGGAAGUAAGCAUCUCCCCUUGUUAUCUCCGCAGCCAAUUUCAACCGAAAAAAAGGCAUGUUGUGCGAGGUGCAAGUAGCUAACGGAAGCUUAGCGCUGAAAAGCUCAAUGUACUUUAACACAAACAUGCCACAAUCGCCUCUGAAGCAAAACAAGAACUCGAUCAAUUCAACUAAUGACAUUCUAAUGUAAUUGACAAUUGAAAGUAAUAAAAUUAAAUUGCAAGUUGUGCUUACUCAUUAGACUGUUGUGGAACAUCCACACGCUCUAUUGGCCACGGACACCACCAAUCUCGGCUGCAAUUGUUUGCAUAAACACCUUCUUCAUAAAAGUCGAUGGUGUUGAGAAGAUUUGGAAGCGUAAUUGAUAGCGGGCCGAGUUCUUCCUUUACGAUGUCAUCUGGAAUUAGUGAAACCUUUGAAUCGUACACUUUGAUUCACACAAUACCAGAUCAAACANNNNNNNNNNNNNNNNNNNNNNNNNNNNNNNNNNNNNNNNNNNNNNNNNNNNNNNNNNNNNNNNNNNNNNNNNNNNNNNNNNNNNNNNNNNNNNNNNNNNNNNNNNNNNNNNNNNNNNNNNNNNNNNNNNNNNNNNNNNNNNNNNNNNNNNNNNNNNNNNNNNNNNNNNNNNNNNNNNNNNNNNNNNNNNNNNNNNNNNNNNNNNNNNNNNNNNNNNNNNNNNNNNNNNNNNNNNNNNNNNNNNNNNNNNNNNNNNNNNNNNNNNNNNNNNNNNNNNNNNNNNNNNNNNNNNNNNNNNNNNNNNNNNNNNNNNNNNNNNNNNNNNNNNNNNNNNNNNNNNNNNNNNNNNNNNNNNNNNNNNNNNNNNNNNNNNNNNNNNNNNNNNNNNNNNNNNNNNNNNNNNNNNNNNNNNNNNNNNNNNNNNNNNNNNNNNNNNNNNNNNNNNNNNNNNNNNNNNNNNNNNNNNNNNNNNNNNNNNNNNNNNNNNNNNNNNNNNNNNNNNNNNNNNNNNNNNNNNNNNNNNNNNNNNNNNNNNNNNNNNNNNNNNNNNNNNNNNNNNNNNNNNNNNNNNNNNNNNNNNNNNNNNNNNNNNNNNNNNNNNNNNNNNNNNNNNNNNNNNNNNNNNNNNNNNNNNNNNNNNNNNNNNNNNNNNNNNNNNNNNNNNNNNNNNNNNNNNNNNNNNNNNNNNNNNNNNNNNNNNNNNNNNNNNNNNNNNNNNNNNNNNNNNNNNNNNNNNNNNNNNNNNNNNNNNNNNNNNNNNNNNNNNNNNNNNNNNNNNNNNNNNNNNNNNNNNNNNNNNNNNNNNNNNNNNNNNNNNNNNNNNNNNNNNNNNNNNNNNNNNNNNNNNNNNNNNNNNNNNNNNNNNNNNNNNNNNNNNNNNNNNNNNNNNNNNNNNNNNNNNNNNNNNNNNNNNNNNNNNNNNNNNNNNNNNNNNNNNNNNNNNNNNNNNNNNNNNNNNNNNNNNNNNNNNNNNNNNNNNNNNNNNNNNNNNNNNNNNNNNNNNNNNNNNNNNNNNNNNNNNNNNNNNNNNNNNNNNNNNNNNNNNNNNNNNNNNNNNNNNNNNNNNNNNNNNNNNNNNNNNNNNNNNNNNNNNNNNNNNNNNNNNNNNNNNNNNNNNNNNNNNNNNNNNNNNNNNNNNNNNNNNNNNNNNNNNNNNNNNNNNNNNNNNNNNNNNNNNNNNNNNNNNNNNNNNNNNNNUUUUCCUCUCCCUCAUCUCUAUUAUUUGGCCCUUCACCCCCUUCAAUCCCUUCAUCUUCUUUUUCCUCUCCCUCAUUUCUGUUACUUGGCCCUUCAUCCCAUUGAAUGUCAUCCAUUUCCCCAUAUCCCUUAAAUAGAUGUGAGACGACACAACGAUUCGUCCUCUGUUUCAGUAAAGCUAGGUCCCUCCUUACUUCCUGCUCAAACUGAGGACCUAAACAUUGGUCCAAUAGUUUUUCCAUCCGUAUGACCUUUAAGUGAAGGACGUCUUUUUCCCGCUUUUCUUGAAACAACUCGGACCUCAACAAGCUUACCACCUUGUUCAACUCAUCAAGAUCACCACAUGAAGAAGGAAUUGACUCUGCCGAGACAACAGCAGGGCGAUCCUGUGGCCAACUCCAAUAUGGCUGUCUCAUUUCCUCUUCACUUAGACAUAGCGCCCGCAACUGAACUGACUGUUUCAGAAUACAGACAAGAGUCAUAUUAAAUCAUUCUACUUCAUAAUUUCAUUCAAUCUUAUCAAUAGUUCUAAGGGCUGCAAACCAAACCUCUUUGCUCUGGAAAAAAUAAUUGUUCAACUUUCUCAUCUCUGGAACAGACGUAGUAGUUCUCCAUCGCAAAAUACGCGGGACAGCGGUCGGAUCAACAACCUUGCAGUAAUUCAGGUCCGCCAUUCUAGGAAUUAAUUCAUAUACCCAAAUCUACACAAUUCACAGGACAAAAGUCAUUAUUUAUGUUUUAAAGAAAAACAAAACAUAACUGACAUGAACAUUAUUACCAUGUACCUGGAAAGCAUACGUGAAACCUUUAAAACUCCAGCCACUCCUUUGCGCUUCACUAUGCUUAUCCUUCUUGCCCUUCUCAUUUCUCCGGCUUGUUCCCGUUACCUUACUUUUCCCCUUCCCUCUUCCCUCUUCAUUUUCCAAGCUUUUCACAUACUUUGUUGGUGCAGAAAAUAGACUGUCUUGGGUUUUGUCAAAGGACACCGAACCCCACGGAUACCUGUUGAACGCAUCCAAGUCCUCUACAAGGGUCAGGUAAUUUAGAUUGAUGUUCAAAUGUUUGUCCCUUCCCAAAACCACUAACUCAGCAAAGUAAACAAGAGGUAGCUUGAAGAUGUCAUCUUCCUCUGUGCACCUCACAAAUGCUUCUUCUAAAGCAUUGCAUGUAAUUCCUUCGUCUAUAAAAUAUCUUUUCUGAAGUCUGAUUUCAUUACUCUCUCCACUGGAAACUUCAGGCACUUCCCCAAAACGAAGCCCUGUGAUCAAACAGAAAUCCUGACGAGUGAACUGAGCAACGUCACACCCUAAUAAGAAACUCAGUCCAUCCAAGUCUUUCACACCCUGCCCCGCUACUCUACGCAACACAACCCCAUGCACAAUCUGUCCGCUAAACUGAAUCUUAUCUAUAUUCAGAAGAUGGCCAAAGCAUGAUGUCUUGAAUUGUUCUAAUUGUUCCGCACUCAACUUCGCUCGAAUUGCAGCUAGAGAUGAAUUUGCAUGUGAGCAGUUGUUCACCCGUGAUGAAUAUACCUCUGCCUCUGGCCAUACCAGCUCCACGUUGGAUCCCAUUUCCUCAAAUACAAUGUGAAAUAACGUGAACAUAUAUACUACCACGUAUUUGCACAAUCACAACUAGUCAACCAGGCACAUUACAACUUUUACAAAGUACAUGAGCAUAUGGAUUACUCAUCACAGGCUUUAACAUCAUCAAAGCAAUAUGACAAUUUUUGUGCAAAUACCUGUUAAUGCAAUGAUUAUGUGAAUUACAAACAAUUUCACGUGUUUUAUUUAUGGAUCCAUACUCGUGUGAGUGCAAUGUAGGCAAGUUCUGCACUUCACACACAUGACAAUUAUUGUCAUCUCAUACACAACCCAAAAUAAAUAAAUAAGAAAUAUAGUGGAAGGAAGCAAAGCAAAGCAUGUACUCUGCUAUCUGCUUGCUAAGCAAUUGCCACAUCCUUCUUUCUUUCUACCUUUUUCUUCAGUCACCCACAAUCGUCAUAGAUCAACCUUCAUUUCAAAUGCUUUGCACUUUUAUUCAUGAGUUUAUUAUUAUCUGUUCUCAUUUCUCAUAGGCAAAUUUAGUAACAAAUGAAAUAAUAUUUAUUUCACAAAAUAUAUAAAUUCUAGUGCCAGAGAGGUACUCUUCACUCUGCACUGCUUCAAAUGUGGAAGGUUUUGAGAUGUUAUUGACAUGUGAUUGACUUUAUUUUCAUUCGUUUUUUAACAUAUACCCAAGCAAAAAUUAACAUGCAAUUGAAGCACAAAUAAGAGAUGCCAAAUCCAACAACAUUGAUGGUACAAAUUGGGGAAAACCAUUACUCUAACCCUAAACUCAAAUUCCUUACAUUACUCAUCAAAUGCUUUGCAGUUCUAUUCAUGAGUUUAUUAUUAUCUGUUCAAAUGUUUCUCAGGCAAAUUUAGUAACAAAGGAAAUCAUAUUUACUUCAUAAAAUAUAUAUAUAUAUAUAUAUAUUCUAGCGCCUCUUCUUAAUCUGCACUAUGCACUGCUUCAAAUGUGGAAGGUUUUGAGGGCCUCCUCCAAUUCAACACCAUUAUCUUAUUCAUAUCAUUAUUGACAUGUUAUUCACUUGUUAUUGACUUCAUUUUCAUUCUUUUUUUAACAUAUACCUAAGCAAAAAUUAACAUGCAACUGAAGCACAACGAAGAGAUGCCAAAUCCAACAAAAUUUAUGGUACAAAUUGGGGAAAACCAUUACUCUAACCCUAAACUCAAAUUCCAUAAAUUACUCACCAAAUGCUGGUUAUUGCAAGGUGUCUGUGUGGGGUCUUUCUGUUUCUUUGCUCCACAAAUGGAACCUACCACUUCCAACGAAUACAGCUUUUCCCCUUCCCCUUCCACUGCUUCGCCUCUUCACUGAUUUGGAAUCCACACCUUUGCCCCUUCUACUCCAAAUAAAUACUUUCUCGGGGUCUGGAGAACGGAGUGGCGAAUCGUUGCCUUCAACUGUCGUUAGCCGUUGCCUUCAUUGGGUAUCUCAGACCUCUGUGUUUUAGAGAGAUGAGUUCUUUCUGUUCAAACUUCGAACUUGCCUCUUCUUCUUCUUUUUCGGACGUGUUUCCCUCUUCUUCUUCUUUUUGGACGUGCUGGAUAUUCAAUUCGGGUUUGGGUUCCUUACCUACCCAAUUGUGAAACUUUAACUCAAUUCUCCCCAGCCCUUGGAUUAAUCUGAUGGCUAUAAAGUGAACCCCUUAUAACUUACCCCUUAUAACUUUCCACUCAUUAUAGUCUUGGCCAGGUAUGGCGGCCAUGCUAGUAAGUGUUGGGUCUUUGACCCAACUUAAGCUAAAUGGGUCAUAAGAUGACCGAUCAUCUUAUCUCAUAAGGAUAUAUAAGUCAUGUUAUGAUUUAGGAUUUUAUAGGGUUUCCUUUGUAAGAGGUAAGAGAGAAACAAGCUCUCUCUCUCUCUACACAAGGAGGUCAGCCAUAGCAAGGGAAAGGCUCCUAGCACUCUCCUCUCUCUUAUUAUAUCAUCCUUCCAAGGACAGCUUUGGUAUGGUAAAGUUGGAGGUUGCACACUUUGUGCACUUUGGUAAGAACUCAUCCAAGGGAGCCAAGAUUAAAUUGGUUAGCUGUUGGAUUAAAUUGGUUAGCACGAUUCAACGGUUAAUAGAUAAAACUUCACAUAAAAGUCAUAUAUAAGGCCCUCACUAUAGAAUGACUCGUUAGUUUAGUCUCUUGUUACAUAUCAAAUGUUAGAGAUAUUUUUUAAUAAGGAUCUGCCAUACCACAUAGUUGGAUAAGACAUUAUACACGGCUUUUGUAAGAGCAUCUCCAGCGCUCCAAACUAGCCCAAGCAGCAGGGGGGCCUAAGUCUAGGAAGCAGCUCCAGCUCGCAAGAUUCAACCCAGGCAAGGUGUGGAACCCACGAGGAGAUCUAGCCCGUCACCUUGCCUUUGGGUUUCAGUCAAGCUGAUGUCAACGAAAGAAUUUCAAAUUUUUUUUACCGUUACAAUGUACGCGCCAACGAUAAAUUUUCUUUGGAUUUCUUGCAUUGAUCCACAGCUACCAAAAACCAACAGCUACAAGCCACGUGGCUUCUCCAGGAGCCUCCGAUCCAAAAAUCAUGUCAAAUCUAACGGCAGUCCAUUUUUUGGCUAAAAAUAUCAAAAAAUUAUGGAAACAUGUUCUAUAAAUUCCUACAAAUAUUAUUCACUUCCCACACCAAAUCUUCAUACAAAUUCAUAUCCUUUCAAUAUUUUUCACUUUCCAUACAAGAUUUUCUACUACUAAGUUUCGUUUGUGUAAAAAUACAAAUGACCUCUUCUAUCGAAGCCGGAGGCGCGUGUACAACCGUGGAAGAUAUUUUGUUGCGUGAGUGUUGGGUCAAAGUUGGUCAUUCCCUGAUCACGGGCAAUGAGAUGAAGUCCUCUCGUAGGAGUUUCUGACAUCGCAACGAAAGUAAGAUGUGAUAUGAAAAUGUAAGGAAUUUGAUGAGAGGAAUGGGAUUUGAGGAGUUUGAUGUAGGAAUUGAUGUAGGAAUUGAAUUUGGGAGGUAUGUAUAUAAGAUUUGAGGGUAUGUGUUUAGGGAUUUUGAUAAGAGGAUUUGAGGAAUUUAGAUUUGAAGGAUUUGGAUUUGGGGAAUUUAAAUAUGAGGAAUUUGAUUAGGGUUUGGGUUUGAAUAUGUGAAAUUUGAUAUGAGAGUUUAGAGACAACAGAUGAUCGAUUGCUCUGAUACCAUGCUAAAAUAUGAUAUGGUUUGAAUACUUUAGGUUGAGUUUUAUUCUUUUCCAUAAAAAGGUAUAUAUAGGAGUUUACAUGAGUGCUUUACAAAGAAAUAGAUACAAUAAUCAAUUAGGAUAAUAUCUCCUAAUUAUACAAUAAUUUGUCAACUAUAUAGAAUAGGAAAGUAAAUUCCUUAAUUAAUCAAGAAAAUAAAUCUCAUUGAUUAAUUAGGAGACUAACGUCAACAUUUAUAAGCCAUAAAAGAGCAGAAAAAGAGGUACUUAGGAGAUUUUAUACGUCGGACUAAGGUAAGCUUAAAGGACUAUAUCAAAAAAAUAAGGGACCAAGAAGCAAGACAGAGAAGUUGUUAUGCAAACCCAUUAAGUUUAGCAGUGAUGAAUUUGUAAAAAUCAUUCUAGUGGAUUCUGCCUUCACUAUUGAGUUCUUAUUGAGGUUCUAUCUGAAAGGAUCUGGACAUGAAGGAGACCGCUUAUUAAACAAACCGUGGAUGUUUACAGCCUGACAUGUGGUUGCUUGAAAAUCAGCUCCCAUUCUUUAUUCUUGAGGAUCUUUAUCACACAUACAUAAUAACCGACUCUUUUAGGAAUUAUUACAGUACUCAUGAUCAUGAGAGGCUUUCAAUAAUUAAUAUUUCUAAGAAUUUCUUCACAGCCGGAAUAUUGAAUUUGGAGGGGAAGGGAGACAAAUGGAACAGAAUAUCAUCUUCUUCUAGUGUUGGAAAUUUUAUAUUAUUUAAUAAUAUUUAAUUUCUAUUGUGAAUGAAAAAUAAGUUUCUUUAAGAAACGUGUGUCUUAGGCCAGUUUUUCUAACUGGUCGGCUUCCUUAGAUUUGUGCCUAUUGCUUUUCAAAGUAUAAUGAUGCAAUGGUUGUAUCUCGUUCAGGCAAAUGGAAGGUAUAUAGCAAUUUAUAGAACAAUACAGUAAUCCAGAAGAAAUAUUAUGAAAUGAAAAGAAUAAAAAGUAAAAAAAGAGAAAGAAAGGAAUUCCCACCUGCAAUGUAUAUGUAUGAAAGGAAGGACCAAGUUUGUUUUAAAAUGGUAAGAACAAGUUGAUUUUAAAUUGGGUUCAGAUCAACUCAUAGAUUUCUUGCCUUUUCUGUUCUCCUUCCUUGGACAUGAACUGUUUAAUCUUGGACUCUUCCCCAUCAUGUUGGGCCUGUCUUCUUCUUGAGGAUUGUAUAGGCCUAGGAAAUGCUUCGGGGUAGUUUUUGUGUUUUGGGCAUUGGGACCCAACUUCACAAAAAGAAAACAAAUUUGACCAAAACACAAAUUUGAAGGACAUUGAAAUUGUACCCGUAGGAUAGAUUAAAACACUAUAAGGGAGGUAAAUAGUACGUUUACAGAGUUUAAGUGUAAUAAAGGAAUAAAAACAUGCCCAGAGAAUUGAUAAGUGAUAUCAAUUCUUGAAUAUACGUGAAAAUUAUUUUAUGUGGUUAAACCCCACCUCUGGGGAAAAUCCACGGAACUUCUUAGUCCAACUUCUAUCACUUAUCCUAGACACAUUCUAGAUAAUGUUUGCCAACCUCUUCGUAACUCAACUUCUGUCACGAGAUGAUCUUUCAACACUUUAUGUCGAACGCAAUACUGGUCACGAUUUCUUCAAGCUCGCCGGAGUUCUUCCAAUUCUCCUUAUAUUGAAUCUGAUACUAGUCACGAUCGAUUCAAGCUCAUCGGAGAAAAAUCGCCACAACAAUCUUGGUGCCCUCAACCGUAUGAGUCACUGAACAUGCAAAUGAAUACAAUAUGAAUGAUAAAAGUGUUUGAUAAAUCACCAAGUUAUGGAACACUUGAUGAUUUAUCUCAAAUAAAAAUUCAGCUUUCCAAAGUUUAUGAAUUGAAAAUAUGACCGUUAAAGCUCUCUAAACAAAGAAGACGAAGGUCUUAUUUUAUAGACUUUUACUUUACAAGAAAGAAAACACGUUGAAAACCAAAUCUCCAAUUUCCAAGGCUUGACAGAAAAUCACAAAAUUAUCUUUCCUAUUCUAGAGAUUGGUCACAUGAAGUCCAACCAAUAGGAAAUGAGAUAUUUAAGAAAGGAAGAUUUUGAUCAAUAUCAAUAUCAAAUGAAUUCUUAUACGCCUAGUCAAUUGUUAUGGGUAUCUUGACUCCUUGAUAUUGUGAUAUGAUUGAAACAUGAUUUCCACGUUAGAAAAUUAAGGGGAUGUUAAAACAUGAAGGUAAUAGGAGAAUCAAAUUGAUUUGGGCCAAAAUUGCCUAAAAAGAAAACACUCCUUAAUAAACUUCAAUUUACUUUUAAAAAUAGUAAAACGUGAUUGAAUCGUUCUUUAAAACAAUUCCCUAAUAUACAUGCAUGAUAGUGAUAUCACUUACCUUUGAAUCAGAUGGCUUUCACGGGUCAAGCCACAAGUUUUUGUCUUGGGGAUUGCUGAGCUUCAUCAAUCCUGCCAAUGUCAAUUUUGCCCCUAAGCUCUCUCAAAGCACGUUUACAACCUAUGCUAACAUAUAUUAGAGUUUAUGUUAGUAUCAAGAAAAUGCCAACACUAAUUUCGUAACACGUAGAAAUUGUUAGAGAUUGAAGUUUUUAUCAUUUUUUCUUCCAGACUCUCCACCACUCACUAAUAUAGUUUACUCAUGUGAUGAGUUUACAAAACCUAUUUCUCUACUCUCACAAAGACUAUACUUAGGGGGGUGUAUUCAAUUAGGAUUCUAAAGCGUUUAAAAAGAUUUUGUUUAAGUGCCAGCUUUCAUAGAACUUGAUGGAACUUUAUAAUUCGUAUAGAACUUGAUAGACUUUCAGAAGACUUCUGUAUAAUUUUUUAAUAAAACUUUCUUAAGCUUUCAUAGAACUUGAUAGGCUUUCAUUCCAAACUUAUGUAGAUGGUAUAUUUCAUUUUAUCCCCAUCCUUGACAUUUAAAGAAAGAAACUUGAAUUUUUUCAAUCAAAUUUGUUUUUGUUACCAAAGCAGCAAAAACAAAAAGUACUUGUUUGCGAUGGAAGAACAUAUGCACAGUUCAAAAUGAAAAGAAUAAGAAGCAAAGUACCUAUUUGACCAAUGAAUGCUGUGUCAACUAGAGAAGCAAUUGGAUCGGCUGUCAAAGCCAAUGCUGCAGGCAAUGCAUCGAUGGUCCAAAUUGCAAUAAAAAAAUAUUUUGAAUAAUGGCUCUUGCAGACAAAGACCACAUAAAUUCUGAACUGGUCUAGCUUGAAUAAUAAGGUUAGAUUAGCCAAUUGAUGAGAUUAAAAGCAAAGCAAGUUGAUGAAUUUAUCAUCAACUAUUUAAUAACCACAGUCCUGAUCUCUUGGACCCCUGUAGUCCAAGAGAUUUAUGGUCACCCACCGUUGGAUGUAAAUUCAACGGUUGACUUGAAUCGGGUAAUAAUCAUUUAUGUCAUAUUGCAUUUAUAUAUAUCAUUUUGAACCAUUGGAUUAAUAUCCAACGGUGGGUGACCACAAUCUCUUGGACUCCUGUGGUCCAAGAGAUCGGGACUGUUAAUAACCAAUAGAGUAUUUAAACAUAAACAACAAUGUUUGAUCAACAAAACAAAUAGUCCAAAUAUCAUCCAAAAAACAAUAACAAAAAAUCAAUCAUUCCAAACAAACUAGUCAUUCUCAAAAACUCUCAAAAAACCCACUCAUUCCAAAUUGUAGGAUAUCCAAUUUGAGCACUCCUCAGGAGACAUUUUCAAAAAUGCAUCCUUUUUUGUGUUACUAUGCAACAAAGAGAGUGCUUUAUAACGAGCAUGUUCAUCCAAAUUUGGGGUCUCCUUAAUGGCAUCCCAUAUAUAACUCCGCUGCUCUCUCUCUUUUUCCCUUUUUGCCAAUAGGUUAUGGACCUCCCGGAAGUCGAUGACAAUUGAAUCAAUGCUAAGGCUAAUUCUUCCCAUAGCUUGCUGGGUGGUCACAUUUGAGAUAGCAUUCCCUUCCAAAUAUGUUCUAGUUCGUUUCCUCUAGUAACAAGCAUAAAUCCUAGUAACAAGCAUAAACCCUAACCCCAACCUAUAACCUAAUAACAAGAAGAAAACCCAACGAGGUAUUGAUCAAAGAAAAAUUAGGGAGCAUACCUUCACAGAUGGAGGAAGGAAGCUGUUCGUCUUCGCAGAGAGAAAAUCUAGGGAAAGAGAAAAACGUCUUAUGAAAUACUUGGGGGGGAGGUUGGAUUUAUUUUGGUCUUUUUUAUUUAUAACUCUCCCCUUAAAACCUACGUAAAUUUAUCACUUAAUGAAAUCCUUCCAAAUAUAUGACCUUUCGAAUACACCUAGAUUUGAUUCAACUUUUUUAUAAUCAUAAUUGAAUACACCCAUAUUUGAAUGGACUUUUUAAAAGUUCAUAUAGGUCCGAAAUGAAUAUACUCAAACUUGUAAAACCUCUUUUAAAGUUUGUAUAAAUCCAAAUUGAAUACACCUGGAUUUUUAAAAUCUUUUUAAACACUUUAUAAUCCUAAUUGAAUACACCCCCCUUAUUCUCAAAAGACUAUAUUACUUUACCUCUAUCUCUGUGAAAUGUAAAAAGUUGAAACUUUAAUGUCAAACCUCAACAAAAGAUGAACUUUCAUCAGUUACGUUGAAUUUGGAUUUGUUGAACUUAAGUGGUUUUAUUUUCUUUGUCAGUGUUUGAUGACUUAAUUUGGUAUUUAUUUCUUCUUUUUUUUCCUUGGAAAUGUGUUCCACCAACGUGAGGAAGAAAAAUAUGCACAAAUUAAUAUAUUUAAUAGAAGCCCAAGAUUUCGGAUGCAUAUAAUUUCUACAAAAAUCUACAAAGUUUUUUACUUUACAAACUUCUUAUGUCUACCAAUUUCUACUAAAAUUAAUUUCUCUGUGGUGCUCAAAUUCAUCAUAUGUGUGUCGUUAAUUUUAUUGAAAAUUGGAAGUUCCCAUCAUUUUUGUUUUUUGGGAAUUUUCUGAACCAAGGAAAAUCAAGUAAAAUUAAUAAAGCCUAAAUUGGAAAGGGAAAAUAUCUAGAGGAUGCAUUGUAGGAUUGCUCAUGCCAAUAAUUGUACCCUCUAAAUAUAUAGAGACAUAUUUUUUUUGUUUUCAUGACAUGUGGUCCUAAAAUUAUUGUGUAAAUCUUCAAUCCUGAACGAUGCACCUAAAACUCAUCCACCCAUUCUCAGGCCAAUUAUUGCACCUAGUGGGCUCUCGACCCCCUCUCAAAUUUAACCACAUAUUUUAUGGACCAUCCAGCUGUGAGGUACAUUCCCCCCACAUGCCACAAUUGUAUAUUCACAAUUACGUCUGAUACAUCACAUCAUGCCACUUGCCUCAAAUGAAUUUAAGUGAGUGAGGCAGUUGGAAGUAAUUAAGCUCUAUAUUGGUGGGUGGAGUGUUACUUCUCGGUUCCCCUCAUCAUUCGUCUAUAAAAUGGUGAAGGCAGUUGCUAUUGUUACCAUAAGAGCCAGCUCCGACUUCCUUUAAUUUCUUGCUUCAUAUCCACUAGCUACAUCUGUUACCAAGUUAAUUUCAGUUCUAAUGGGGUUUCAUCUCCCACUCAUCUUUGCUCUUCUCAGUGUAAGCUCUGCAAUUUGAUUAACUUUUCCAUUCUCUCUCAUUGUACUCUAUAUAAACGAAAGUUUUGUGUUCCUAUUGUUCUCUCCGAUUUUAUUUAGUACGUACUUAAGUGUCGUCCACUAAUUAAUUAUACUUUGUGAUUUGAUUUUAAUUUGAGUUUGAAUUAAUGUUGCAGCUAGCAGCAGUGGCACUGGCAAACCAUGCUGCUCAACCAGCACCUCAACUUUACUGGAGCUCCGUCCUGCCAAACACACAGAUGCCAAGAUCUAUCAGUGAACUUCUGCAUCCUGGUUUGUGUUGAGCUCUUUAGAAUCUUAGAUAUCUCUUCUACCUGCCAUUUUACUAAAAUAUGUUCCACCACAUAUUUAUCAGUUAACCAUUGUCAUUACAUGAGUGACACAUAUUCACAAAUCGGCUGAUCACUUAUUUUCCAUUAUGACUUGAUAUAUAAUUUGCAGACUCCACAAAUGAAGAAAAGAGCACAAAUGACGUUGGCAAACCUGAAACUUUCCCAUUGGGCAAUCAACAUUACUCCAGUCAAAAACAUUAUGGAGGCAUACCUGAAACUUCCCCAUUGGGCAAUAAACAUUACUCCAGUCAAAAACAUUAUGGAAGAGGCAAACCUGAAACUUUCCCAUUGGGCAAUCAGCAUUACUCCAGUCAAAGACAUUAUGGAAGAGGCAAACCUGAAACUUUCCCAUUGGGCAAUAAACAUUACUCCAGUCAAAAACAUUAUGGAAGAGGCAAACCUGAAACUUUCCCAUUGGGCAAUCAGCAUUACUCCAGUCAAAAAAAGUAUGGAAGAGGUGCUUCUCCAUCCGACAAUCAACAACUCCAUUAUAAAGACUUAGCUAUUUUCUUCUUGGAGAAGGACAUGCGCCCUGGCACAACAAUGAAGUUCCAAUUCCCUAUAAAUUCAAACACGGCUACUUUCUUGCCACGAGAAAGCGCUCAAUCGAUCCCCUUCUCCUCUAACAAACUGCCAGAAAUUUUCAACCAUUUUUCAGUGAAGCCAACAUCUGAGGAAGCCAAAACAAUUAAGCAAACAAUCGAAGAGUGUGAAGCUCCAGACCUUAAGGGAGAGGAAAUAUAUUGCGCCACAUCUUUAGAAUCAAUGGUUGAUUUUAGCACUUCGAAGCUUGGAACAAGAAACGUUGAAGCAAUCUCGACGGAGGUAUUGGAAAAAGGAGCCACCAUGUCCAUCCAAAACUAUACAACAAUGCCGGGACUGAAGAAGUUGGCAGGUGACAAAGUCGUUGUGUGUCAUAAGCAGAACUAUCCCUAUGCUGUGUUUUUCUGCCAUGCAAUAAAACAUACAGCAGCUUAUGCUCUCUCCCUGAAAGGCGAUGAUGGGGAGAAGGUUAAAGCAGUAACCAUCUGCCAUCUAGACACAUCAGAAUGGGACCCAGAGCAUAUGUCCUUCCAAAUCGUCAACGUUAAGCCCGGAACCAUUCCCAUCUGCCAUUUCAUUUCCACUGAUGCUAUUGCCUGGGUUCCGAACCACAAAUCUGCAUGAUCAUCACUUAGCACUAGUACUGUGCGUAUAAUAUGCCUGUAUAAUUAUCUCCCUACUUAUUUCUGCCUCUUCAUCAUGUGGUGUAAGAUAUAUGUUGAGAUGAAGUUUUUGGGAUUUGUGGUCGAAAUUAACCCGAUCAUGUUUUCUCUUGCAACCAUAUAGACUUCAACUUGUACUCAUAAUAAAGCAUGCUAUAUUUAU